rnacentral:lncRNA from 1 species
CCUAGAUUGGUUAUGUGUCACUUGGGAUCCUCCGUCAAGAUUGUGGAGUUGAAUCAAGGAGUUUGUAAGGGCAAGGAGAUCGCCUACUUCGUGAAGAUCGACCCAAGUGAGGCAAGUCCUUCGUGGGAGAUGGCCAUGGUGGAAUAGACAAGGUUGAUUCUUUGUGGACCCUUCAUGGGUGGACCCUCCAUGUACUCGCACCACCGUUACCCUUCGUGGGUUGAAAUCUCCAUCAACAUGGACGUACGAUAGCACCACCUAUCGGAACCAUGCCAAAAAUCUCUGUGUCAUCAUUGCGUUUGCGCUCUCCAAACCCUUCCCUCUACCUUCAUAUGCAAUGUUUUACUUUCCGCUGCCACACUCUUAGAAUUGCAUGUGAAGGUUGAUUGCUUGACUUGUCCUAAGUUGCUAAAAUCUGCCCACAACUAAAAUUGGGAAAAUGUUAUUUUUUUGGUCAAGUAGUCUAAUCACCCCCCUCUAGACCUAUUUUCGAUCCUACAAGUGGUAUUAGAGCUAUGGUCUCCAUUUGCCUUGAUUUCCAUAGCUUUGGUGAUCGUAGCCUUGGUCUCACAACCUAGGAGAGUACGGCGUCUAGCGAGGGAAAUUAUCACCGUAGAGGUCCUUAAUUUGAUGGUACAAAUUUUUCUAGUUGGAAGCAUAAGAUGAAAAAUGCAUAUUCUUGGUCAUUAUUAACCUCGCCAUUUGGGCUAUUGUGCGCAUUGACUUGCAAGGUGAUUUCUGCGAGGAUGGAAAAGAACCAAAUCGUGAAGCGUCCGCGGAAGAUAUGAAGAUGUUGCAAUACAAUUCUCAAGCUUGUGAUAUUAUCUUCAACGGAUUGUGCCCCGAAGAAUUCAACAAAAUCAGCCGCCUUGAGAAUGCGAAGCAAAUUUGGGAUACUUCUCUUAAUAUGCACGAAGGUAAUGAAUCUGUCAAGGAAUCCAAAUUGGAUGUGCUUCAAAGUCAACUUGACAAGUUUAAAAUGAAGGACGAUGAAGGAGUCGUUGAGAUGUACUCUAGGCUUGCUCUCAUCACAAAUGAGAUUGCCGGCUUGGGAAGCGAAGAGAUGACUAACAAAUUCAGCAUCAAGAAGAUCCUAAGAGCCUUGGAUGGAAAGUAUGAUACCGUGGGCACCUUGAUCCAAAUUAUGCCCAAUUACAAAGAUCUCAAGCCCACGGAAGUCAUUUCUAGAGUUGUUGCUCAUGAGAUGUCACUCAAGGAUAAGGAGGAGCUCCACAACAAGUCUAGUGGUGCUUACAAAGCUUCAAGUGAUGCUCCUACAACAUCAAGUGAGAAACAAGUCCUCAAUGAAGAAUUGAGCUUAAUGGUGAAGAAAUUCAACAAAUUCUACAAGAAUAGAAGCAAAGACAAAAGAUCCAAGUCAAAAUCCUAACAUGACAAAAGAUCUUCUAGUCAUGAUCGUAAUUACUACAAUCGUGGAAGACCCGGACACUACUCCAAUGAGUGUACGGCUUCCUACAAUAAAAGAAGUAAAAGAUAUGAAUCACCUCCGAGAGAGAGGAGUAGUAGAGAUGAUCGUUUUGAUCGAAGACCCUCUUGUAGAAGCAAGGAUUCGUAAAGGAAGGACAAGUCAUCAAAGAGCUACACAAGACGAAGACAUCAACUCACAUGGGUGAAUGGGUAUCCGAUUCUGACUCCGACAACUACUCCGAGAGAAGCUAUCACUCCGACUCCAAAUAUACUCAAGAUGAAGGUGUUGCUGGUCUUGCACUUGUGUCAUCCAACUCCUACGACAUAUUUGACUCACCAAAUGAAGGAAUUGGAAGAUGCUUCAUGGCUAAAGGCCCUAAGGUAUCACACCCCGAAUAUGUUGAUUUCAAUAGUGAUGAAGAUGAUUUGCUAGGUGAUGAUGAUUUACUUGUUGACAACACUAGUGAUGAAAACUAUAAUGAACUUGCUAUUAAUCAUGCUAAUCAAGAUGAAAUGAUUGACAAUGAUAAGAAGGAGACUGAGAGUCUAACUAAAGAACUAAACACUCUUAAGUUAGCUCAUGAAACAACUCUAGAGGAUCAUCGAGAGCUUUUAAGAACUCAUGAGAAGCUACGCUUCGAUAAGCUAAAUUUAGAGCAAGAACAUGGGUUCCUAAAAUCAAUCAAUGAUGGUCUUCGAAGAAGAGUUCUUAUUACAUUGCCAAGCAUUUACUCUUGUCUACUUAUAAGACACAAGUAAAAUCUAGCAAUAAGAACAAGAAGGAUUCUUCCUCUAGUAUUAACAAUAAUCAUGUUAAAUCCAAUACUGUUGCUUCUAGUAGUUCUAUUGAUUCCACUAAUGAUUCUCUUAGCCAAGUUACACUUGAGCAAGAAAAUAGCUUAUUGUAGGGAAUUGUAGAGAAAGGUGUUUCAAUAGCCUUGCUGGAAGUAAGCAAUUUGAGGAAAUUGUACGCAAGCAAGGAAGGCACCAUAAGAAUCAAGGUGUUGGUAUUGAACGAAAGUACAAUGCCAAUGGAGUUGAGUGGGAAGAAGAUCAAUAUCCCAAGACAAAGUUUGUUCCUCAACAAGAGAAGUAUGACCCCACUUCUUUCAAGGAAACACAAGCUCAAGAUGAUCUUCCACCACAAGACCACAUGCUAAAAGGCAAGGACAAGCUUCAAGAAGAGUUUGACUCAUUUGAAGAAGUUCCUAAGGUCAUGGUCAAGUGGGUUCCCAAGACUACAUCAAGUUCUACUUCAUCAAGUACGAAUACAACUCCAAGGAUUCCCAUCAAGGUUAUGUGGAUCCCAAAGAAGAACAACUAAAAAGUUCUUGAGGGUGACUCUGCCAACGUACUUCACUCACAUUUCUUUUGGCAGGGACAAGUGCAAUCAACUUCCAUAUCUUGCAGUAGUUCAUGCAGUCACAAAUGAGGGAGUCCUGGAUUAGGGGGUAUCCAGACAGCCGGACUAUAUGCUUCGUCCGGACUGUUGGAGCGCGAAGAUACAAGACUCAACACUCCGUCCCGUGUCCAGAUGGGACUCUCCUUUGCGUGGAAGACAAGCUUGGCGAUCCGGAUAUUAUAUUUCCUUGUUUGUAACCGACUCCAUGUAAACCCUAGCCCUCUCCGGUGUCUAUAUAAACCGGAGAGUUUGGGCCUUAGAGGGACGAUCACAAUCAUAAUCAUCAUAGGCUAGCUUCUAGGGUUUAGCCUCUACGAUCUCAUGGUAUAUCAACUCUUGUACUACUCAUAUCAUCAAUAUCAAUCAAGCAGGAAGUAGGGUUUUACCUCCAUCGAGAGGGCCCGAACCUGGGUAAACAUUGUGUCCCUUGCCUCUUGUUACCAUUAGCCUAAGACGCACAGAUCGGGACCCCCUACCCGAGAUCCGCCGGUUUUGACACCGACAUUGGUGCUUUCAUUGAGAGUUCCUCUGUGUCGUCGCUGCAAGGCUUGAUGGCUCCUACAAUCGUCAACAACACGGUCCAGGGUGAGACUUUUCUCCCCGGACAGAUCUUCGUGUUCGGCGGCUUCGCGUUGCGGGCCAAUUCGCUUGGCCAACUGGAGCAGAUCGACAGCUACGCCCCUGGCCACCAGGUCAGGUUCAGAAACCUGAACUACACGGCGGAUAUCUGCGGAGACUUGAUCUUCAACGGAUUCGGGCCUGUGCCAGGAACGCCGGACAGUCACGAUGAGCACGGCUUAGACCUAUUGUCGGACAAUGCUCGGGAUAUCACCCCCGCAGUAGCCCCGGACCUAAACCCGGAGCAGAUUGCGUUGCCCAAGGACGGGUGGAUGGACCCUGUCCUACGGGCCACACACUCAUCGGCAUUAGAGCUGAACACAGGCCUCACCCCUAAAGAAGCCUGUGACACUGGACCCCCGGACUCACAUCCGGCUGUAGGUUCCAGUCCGCGCGCUCCCGAACCCGCCGAACCUAGAUGGGCUCCCGUAAUGGAGUUCACAGCUGCGGAUAUCUUCCAGCACUCGCCCUUUGGCGACGUGCUGAACUCAUUAAAAUCUCUCUCUCUCUCUCUCUGUUAGGGGACUCUUGGCCGAACUAUGUCCGGCUCGAGUGGGAAGCAGGCGACGAAGGAAUUCAUUGCCCACCCACCACCCACUUCAUUGCCACUGUCGACGAUGUAUCAGACGUGCUUGACUUCGACUCCGAAGACAUCGACAGUAUGGACGACGAUGCAGGAGAAGAUUCAGAAUCACUGGGGCGCUGGACUACCACCUCGUCAUACGAUAUAUAUACGUGGUGGAUACGCCCAAGGAGGACGACGGCGACAAUCCGGAAGAUAAAACCCCCGGGCUAAAGCCAAAACGACGGCGCAGACGCCGCUCCAAGUCCAGCAACAAUAAAAAUAGCGACAAGAGCGCCAGAAAGAUCGACACCCCAGUCAACUCCGAAGGCAACAACGACCAUAUGGAUCCAGCAAUGGAGCAGGAUGAGCCAGGUCACGCCGAACACAGAUCAGAGCAGACGCCCGAUCACAAUGAUCCUGAGGGACGAAUUAAUCAAACCGCCCCGGGACAAGAACACAGUCUGGAUGACAAUGCAUUCAUCAUUCCGGAAACACGCUUGGAAUGAGAUAACCUCCACAGAAGGCUUAUGGCCACUGCGAGGAGUCUAAAGACCAGAAGCAACGGCUAAAGGCCACACAGGAAACGCUCAAUCGCAGAUGGAAUAAAGUGCUAGACAAUGAAGAAAAGUACGGUGAUGAUUGCCACACAAAGAGCUACCCAAAACGCAAGCUGCUGCCAGAAUUCGACGACGAGGCCGUUCCACCAAAGAACAACACGUCCAGGAGGCGAGAUAAACCACUUCAUAACCGCAAUAGAGCAGCUACCGACGACGCACACGAUCUACGCGAGCUCCUGGAUAAAAAAGCCGGCGUGGCUAGGUCCAUCUAUGGAUCUAAAAGACACACCCCGGCGCUAGACUGUGGUAACCAAAACGAUCAUAUUGAUCGGAUACCUGUUCGAAAUCAGCACCGGACACAACAACAAUAGACGGCAUGCCAUAGCGCGUCCAGAUACAGAGGGGUUGCUCACCCCCUAUGCUUCACCGAAGAGGUACUGGACCAUGAAUUUCCACCGGGUUUUAAACCUGUGAAUAUAGGCAUACGACGGAACAACAGACCCAGGGGUCUGGAUCGAGGAUUUUAUCCUGCAUAUACACAUGGCUCAUGGGGACGACCUCCACGCCAUCAAAUACCUUCCCCUCAAGUUGAAGGGGCCAGCUCGACACUGGUUGAAAAGCCUCCCCGAAAAUUCCAUUGGAAGUUGGGAGGAACUCGAGGACACUUUCAGGGCCAAUUUUCAAGGGACUUAUGUCCGGCCUCCGGAUGCGGACGAUUUAAGUCACAUAAUCCAACAGCCCGGAGAGUCCGCCCGCAUGGUUUGGAACAGUUUCCUCACUAAGAAGAAUCAAAUUGUCGAUUGUCCGGAUGACGAAGCCUUAGCGGCCUUCAAACACAGCAUCCGCGACGAGUGGCUCGCCAGACACCUCAGCCAAGAAAAGCCGAGGACAAUGGCAGCCUUAACAAGUCUUAUGACCCGCUUUUGUGCAGGCGAAGAUAGUUGGUUGGCCCGUAAAGGCACCAGCGACCCAAGCACAUCAGAAAUAAGGGAUGGCAACGGGAAGCCACGACGCAAUAAAAACAAACAUCAAAACAAGGAAGAGAGCCCGGACAACACAACGGUCAACGCCGGGUUCAGGGGCUCUCGACCCGGUCAGCAAAAGAAGCCAUUUAAAGGCAACAAAGAGGGACCGUCUAGUCUGAGCAGAGUCCUGGAUAGACUGUGCCAAAUUCAUGGCACCCCCGACAAACCUGCGAACCACACUCACAGAGAAUGCUGGGUCUUCAAGCAUGCCGGCAAAUUAAACGCCGAACAUAAGGGAACGGAAACACCAAGUAAGACGAGGAUGAGCCUCGCCAGCUAAACACUGGGGGACAGGAAAAAAUUCCCACUAGAGGUAAAAAUAGUAAACAUGAUCCACGCGACCCACACAUCCAUGAGAAGGCACGGAUGCGCGCUCAGAGACAUAGAGCCCGUCGUACCCACACCUAACCACUGGUCGGCUUGUCCGAUCACCUUUGAUCACAUGGGACUGCCUGACUAUUAUUCGGCGCGGAGGAUCAGAUGCCUUGGUCCUCGAGCCAAUAAUCGACGGAUACCAUCUUACUCGCAUCCUCAUGGACGGCGGCAGUAGUCUCAAUUUAAUAUACCAGGACACUGUCUACAGGAUGGGGAUAGACUCAUCCAGAAUCAACCAAAGUAACACGACCUUUAAAGGGGUGAUACCAGGCAUUGAAACCUACGGCAGGGGCUCUGUCGUACUGGAGGUAACAUUCGGCUCCCCAGGCAACUCCAGAAGCGAAGAACUACUCUUCACCAUCGCACCCUUCUAGAGCGGCUAUCACGCAUUACUUGGGAGAAUGGCCUUCGCCCGCUUCAACGCAGUACCGCAUUACGCCUACCUCACACUCAAGAUGCCCGGUCCAUGAGGCGUCAUCACCGUUAACGGAAACAUAGAGCGCUCUUCACGCAUGGUGGAAUACAUGACGACUCCAUCGGCCGGAUUCUAAGCGGCCUCCAAUACCAGAAAGCAUGACUGGUUGUUAAGACCACGGACACGGUUAGACAAGUCCGGCAGCCCGGAUAAAAUUGGUCCAGAGCGCCAUGUAUGUAAUCCCAUAGAGGAUACCAGGGGCUUUAGGUAUUUAAUACAACCCCACUCUUGGCUUUACCUUAUUAGCAGGCCAAUGUCUUACACUUUUACUAUCCACCGCAUGCUUACGUUAUACUCUUCUACACGAGUUUUUCUUUUUUAUAGACACAAUUCGUGCGAUACCCUUCCAGGAAACGGCACAACAGAGACAAAGGCGUAGACGUGCAGCAGGGCCCCGCUCAUAGGUUUAUCUUUAGAUUAAGCCCCUGUGUAAACCUUUUUAUUGUCUCUAGUUGUUUUCACAUCCCAUGGGUACUAUACCCAUAGAGGUUACUGCCGUUAUUGGCAUUUCACCACGACAGAUUAAUGCACGUACCUGGGACUACAGGGCUCAUAAAGAAAGGGAACUCUUCAGCCCAUUUUAUGUUGCAAAGUCCGAAUACCUUGGGGAGUAUUCGGCGUCACGAGUUUGGCCUUAUAUGCAUCAGCUCCGAAUCAUGUCUUUGGUCAAAUGGUGGGUUUGCCCGGCUCCUGGGUUUGCCACCUAACGUUCCGUUCUUAUCAGCUAAGGCGACCAAAGGAGAACUACUGUGAUUGUGCCCUGGUUAUUCCGGACAAGCACCUCAGUAGAGAAAGCCAAAAACUGACUGUCAUGAUACAGCGAGAGACUGUUCAACCACUCGAAGACUUAUCAAAAUCUUUAGGAUUCCUCCGCAUUAAUGAAGGACCGUUUCCCGGUCAUGUACACACGCGCCCGUAUUCGGAUGCACGCGAAGGUACCAGGGGCUACAUAGUAGCCCCACCAUUAAACCCCAUGGCUAAGUGAAAGUGUUACAGCUAUAUAGUCCGGUUGCCUAGUUCGACAUGUGAUCACCUCCUUAAUGGACCAAGACGUUGGAUCAAGUGUGAUUACACAUAUUUUUCGCUAACACCCCCGCAUUGUAUGCGUCGGGGCUGAAGCCAACGGCUGCUAACUUUCAGAUUACACAUAUACAUAAAAACGGCGUAUAGGAGACACAAUAAUACUUUCAGGCAAAAAGUAUAAAUAUGGCCUUGUAAUCAAAAUAACAUUGUUUUUACAAUGACACGAUUUUUCACUCGAACAAGACAUUCUUCGAGCAUUGCGCCUCUAUUAAGCGGGCACCUUCUGUUACCUGCUCCAAGUAGUGCUCGGCCGGAUCCUGGCCUCCCGCCGGAUUCUGGGUCGCAAUGAUGGUGGCCUCCAUAUCCGUCCAAUAUGCUUUAACACGGGCAAGUGCCAUCCGUGCACACUCUAUACACGCCGACCUCCUCAUAGCAUCGAUCUAAGAUACGGCACCGAGGAAUUCUUGCACCAAACCAAAGUAACUAUCCGGCUUAGGCCCCUUCGGCUAAAGAUGGUCUAUUACCAACCGCAUUGCAAGCCCGGACAGCCUAUGAAGCUCCGCCACAGCAGCCAUCUUCUCACUCAAAGGCAACGGGCGCGCGGGAGCAUUGAAUUGCGACCAGAACAACUUCUCCACUUCUUUAUCACCUUGAUCCUCAAAAAACUUGGCCGCAUCAGCCGUACUCUUCGCCAAGUCCGCAUACGCGUCUGCAGGACUCCAGCGUCGAUCUAGGGGAGCAUACUUCAGAUCCAAAAACUUCAUCCGCAAUAGGUAGGGGUUUCCAGCCGCGAUUUUUCUGGCCUGUCGAAGCUCCUCCCGCACAUCCCUAAUUUCGGUCCGCAUCUCCUUGUCCGCGUUAAGUGCCUUGUUCAGGUCAGCCGAAUUAACCUGAUUCUCUUUUUUCAGUAGCUCAUACCAGUCGGCAGCAUUUUUCAGCUCCACGGCCAUUUCGGCUAUCUUGUCUUCUCUUCGGCGAUGAGCAGCCCAUUCGGCCCUCAAAUCUUCGGCCGCCUUCAGGGCAGCUGCAUUGCUAGCCCGAGAUUGUUCCUUGGCCUAGGCAAGUUCCGCCCUUAGGGCUUCCACGGCAGCAGCACUGUCUGUAGUCCACGAAAACGCAUUAAUAUUAUGCCCCUCUCAAUGUUUUCCUAUACAACAUAAUAAGGAAAGCAAAGCACAUACCUUGUGACUCGUUCAGCCGCUCGUUCACCAGCGUGAUAUCAGCAUCAAUAGCUCCAAUCUGCCUCCUUAGUUCGGCAACUUGAACGGACUAGUCGACUGCUGGAUCCUUACACACCUGCGCAUAUAUACAGCGCAACCAUUACUUACACAACAUGAUCCUCCGUUUGCCGCCUAGGGCGGGCAACCAGAGUCUCAGGGGCUACUAUCCAUAUGGAGCACACCUAGAGCGUGCCUCACGGCCAAAAUUAUGUAUUUUUCAUUACAUACCUCAAAGCCUCUUAGCAGGCUCGUAAAUGCUUCAUUCAAACCGCUUGUGGCAGAUGAAAUCUUCUUGAGCACCGUGCUCAUUAAUGAGCGGUGCUCCCCCGAGAGUGCGGCUCAUUCCAGAAGGCCCGUCAGUAUAUCUGGCCGGACACCAAACUGUGCCAGACCCUUCUCAUCACCCCCCCUGGGAGCCGAAUGCUCCGGGCUCAGGGCGGCUGAAGGAUUAGCUUCUGGCUUCGGCAGAUCCAGACUCCUCUGUGAUGACACCUCAGGGUCACCCGCCUCAUGAGGUGGAGAGGUUGGUGGGGUAUCACUCUCCAUCAUCUCCGAAGGGAGAUCCCCCGAAGACAAACUCUGUCGAGAAGAGCUGCUAGCCAGACUGCAAAAAAUGAAUCAUGGCUAUUGUUCUCGGAGAAAUGCAGUACCUACGAAUUAACGAUUAACUCACCACUCGCUUGAGGGCUGGCCUAUUGGCGGGCAUGACACGGUAAGGGCGCCCUUCGGGGCAGGGCCCCCUGGUGACGUUUUCUUCCCCUGCUUGGGCACCUCCGUCUCCAAGUCUUUGGAGGCGGCCCUCUUCUUCUGGCGCGGGGAGGAGGCUUCAGACUCCCCUCCCCGACUAUCCUCCUUAGGGGAGGUAGCAAUUUCCCCGGUUCGGAUGCGCAGUGUGUGAAGUUCGGCUUCUCUGUUCUUCACUUUGUCUUUCCCUGAGGGCAUUUUGCUAAGCACCUGGCCAAGCAUCUUGGCUAUGGUAGGACUAGGCGAGCCUUCGGGAAGUGGCGCCGGACACCUGAUUCUCUCCGCUUUGCUGAGCCAUUCCUGGCCACGGAGGAUUUUUAGAAUGAUGAUUAUGAUAAAUAUAAAUGAAGUGUCCGGUUUCAGGGUUACUUACUUGGGUAUCUAGGCGAUUGCGACUUAGGCCCGCAUCCUUGGUGGUGUCCGGACACUUUACUUGUGGUCCGAAAAAUAAUUUACACAUCCCUUCGAGCUUCAGGCCGAAGAAGUGUUGAAUAGUCCGUGGACCCUCUGGAUUGAACUCCCACAUCCGGAGAGGCCGGCGUUUGCACGGCAACAUCCGUCGGAUUAGCAUUACCUAAAUUAUGCUGACAAGGUUAAUGCCCCUUUCAAGAAGCUCCCGGAUACGGCUCUGCAGUGUUGGUACAUCACUAGCAGACCCCCAAUCUCGUCCUAUGUUGGUCCAUGACGCCAGUUGUGACGGAGGGCCCGAGCGGAAGUCGGGGGCAGCCACCCACUUUGUGCCUCGGGUAGCCAUGACGUAAAACCACCUCCGCCGCCAUAAAUCGGAUACCUCUGGGAAAGAGACCUCUGGCCACGGGGCAUCAGCGUUCCUGCUAAUUAUGGCACCUCCGCACUCUACAUGUCGCCCCCGAUCAUCUUCGGCUUCACAUUGAAGGUCUUGAGCCAUAAGCCGAAGUGUGGAGUGACGUGGAGAAAAGCCUCGCACACAAUGAUGAACGACGAGAUAUGGAGGAUAGCGUCCGGGGCUAGAUCGUGAAAAUCUAACCUGUAAUAUAACAUGAGCCCCCACACAAAGGGAUCGAGGGUGAGGCCCAAGCCGCGGAGGAAGUGAGGAAAAAAUACGACGCUCUCAUUAGGUUCGGGAGUAGGGAUGACCUGCCCUGGAGCAGGAAGCCUGUGCUGGAUGUCGGCAGUCAGAUAUCCGACCUCCCUAAGCCUCGCAAUGUCCUCCUGUUUGAUCGAGGAAGCCACCCACCGGCCUUGAAGGUUGGAUCCGGACACAUUGGAGAAUCUGGGGUGUUUGAGUUUGGGUCUUGGGUGUUGGAGCUCGAGAUGCAAAAGGGAGCAAGGGUGGUGGAAAAGAGGUAUAGGCCUCGGCCCCUUUAUAAAUGGGGUGAAUAUCAAGAGUCCCCGGCGUGACCGCUUGAGACUUAUCUAAAAACACGGAGUCAUACCAACAGUCGUCGUGGGGUGGCGCACGCCCGCAUUGAUGGAAGAUCCCGUAAUAAGGGGAACACGAUCUCUGCUUUGGUAGGGCAUGCCAAUAAAACCACCCUGCAACGUGUAUCAAGGUGGGCUAAGAAAAACCGGUUUGUGUUGGGCCGGGCCACGAUACAAGGGCACGACGCACAAAGAUUGCUAGCAGAUCAGAUUUAUGCUAUGCCCCCUACGGUGGUAUGUGAAGAUCAUCUUGCAGAUCCGGACACGGUUCAAGUGUUCGAUGAUUACUUUGGAGUAUUUGAAGAUGGAACCCGCCUUGCAAUUCCGAAGACAAGACUGCGUGCCGGACUCAUCGUCAUUGAAGCCUGGUUCAGGGGCUACUGAGGGAGUCCUGGAUUAGGGGGUAUCCGGACAGCCGGACUAUAUGCUUCGUCCGGACUGUUGGAGCGCGAUGAUACAAGACUCAAGACUCCGUCCCGUGUCCGGAUGGGACUCUCCUUUGCGUGGAAGACAAGCUUGGCAAUCCAGAUAUUAUAUUUCCUUCUUUGUAACCGACUCCAUGUAAACCCUAGCCCUCUCUGGUGUCUAUAUAAACCGAAGAGUUUGGUCCUUAGAGGGACGAUCACAAUCAUAAUCAUCAUAGGCUAGCUUCUAGGGUUUAGCCUCUACGAUCUUGUGGUAGAUCAACUCUUGUACUACUCAUAUCAUCAAUAUCAAUCAAGCAGGAAGUAGGGUUUUACCUCCAUCGAGAGGGCCCGAACCUAGGUAAACAUUGUGUCCCUUGCCUCCUGUUACCAUUGGCCUAAGACACACAGAUCGGGACCCCCUACCCGAGAUCCACCGGUUUUGACACCGACAACAAACCCUCUUGUUAGUAAGAGAAGGGACUGGGUAACCUAAUGCUUUCAUGGACAUCAUCACAUGUGUGUUUCACUCUAUGUCUAUGGAUAUCCUUGCAUGUUCCUUGUGGGACUAGCCUGUGUAGGUAUUGAAAGUGUAACACUCCAAUGGAUUGCUCCAAAUGAUCUGCAUCAACAUUGAGCAUCGACAUCUUCAACACCUACAUGAAGUCGUCAUCAACAAAACUCAGGGUUAGUUCAUCCCUGUAAGGAGGGAUAUCACAUCUAGGCGGAGCUUUACUCUAAGAAUUGAUCCAAAGCAACUCUAAUGAUGCGAACACAACAAUGCUUUAUGUAAAAGUGGUAAGCCCACUCGUGCUUAAACGAUGAGUAUGACCUACGAUCAAAUGUUCUCUCAUUUGAUUCCUCAGUCAAUAUACUCAUAUAUAGAUGACCUAGUCAUCGCCAAUUGCUUGAUAGAUGCUAGUGUAUGCACAUGGUUUAUUUGCUAUCUUAUUGUGUGAGCAUGUUGGUUGCAUAAUUUUCUCCAUUCGAGGACAUCCAUUUGUUGUUUUGAUUGUUUGGUCUUCUUUUGCCAAAUGGAUGGACAAGAAUGCCUAAGUACUUCCUCUAGCUACCUAUGCUUUUUCUCGUCUCAAACUCUAUUCAUGCUACAUCACAAAGUCUGAACAAGUCUCUUUCGGACCCUCCGGGUGAGGAGAACUCGGAGCCACCGAUCCGUCAAGGGAUUAACUUCCAAAACCUCUUAAUGAUUUUUGGUCAGACCGACCUUUCCAAUUCGGUCUCACCGAGAUCAGUAAGUUGAUCUAGGUUUUCACCUCGGUGCCACCGAUUAGAACUGUGUUGCAGCAACUGUCAGCAGUUUUGCAUCUUGGUGCCACCGAGUAGUUCCACUCGGCACCACCGAUAGUGCAUGGGUAUAUAUUCCUUGCGUACUCGUACGGUUGAAAAUCACUUCAAACCGCACGAGCUCGCGCCCCAGCAGUGCCGCCCUUGGUCUCCGGAUCAUCACCGUCAUCUCCAGUGACCCUCCACUGCUGGUUUCCGCCAUUGCCGCCGUAGCGAAUCUGUCGCUAAGUUAGGGUACGGAUUUGACUUGUGCUUUCCAUUUCUCUGAUUCUUGCACAAAGAAUAUUGCCAUUGUUCCCCCCACGUAUGAGAUUAAUCUAUCCACCAAACGAAGUCCUUAGAAUAUAUUUUAUGAAAAAACUUACGGUUAGGUUUCUGCUGAACCCAUAUUGGACCGAUCAAUCUGAGGAUCUCGGUCACACCGAUUGGCCCUGGCGAUUGCACAAGUACAUCUCGGUUUGACCGAAGUGUAUUGAUCGGUGAGGCCAAAAUCACUUUCUCUGUGAAACCCUAGCAUCUCGAAGUCACCGAUCUGCAUUUCGGUCUGACCAAAACUGUAUGUUUAGACUCUGUUAGUGCUUCGAUGCCACCGAGUUUGUCAAAUCGGUAGCUCCGAAAUGCUUUUUGCAAAAAACUAAAACUUAGUUUUUAUCUAAAUAUUUUUGCAAAACAAGUUGUACUUUCUGAUGCUCAUCUACUCUAUCACCCAACCAUUCACAAGGUCUAUUGCAGAUAUGUCAUAGGAGUGAUAGUCAGAACAGGUCUGAAGAGCAGCUCAACCUUAGUGACGGCACUAGUCCUUCUAGCAGCUAUGAUGAGGGGAGUAGGAGCACUCCCAUCAACUUGCCUAAGGUAGCUACUAGGCAAAGGAAGAAAAGGACAUUUGAAUAUGAGGAUGAAGAUUUUGUGAUUGAGGAGGAAGUGACUUCCAAGAAGAAAGUACUCAAGAAGGAGUAUGCUGUUGUUGCCAUAAAGCCAGGCCUUCCCAAGAAGGCUCCUGUGAAGAGGAAUCCUAUGUCCAAACCCAGAAAAGUGCCAAGUCAAGAAACAAUGAAGAUCACCUUGGAACAGUCUAAUGAUGAGGCAGCUGAUGGUAAGAAGAAGAAGAGGGCCAGAACUACUACUGCUAAGGUGCUUGGAAGACCUUCCAUGAUGGAAGAUGAUGAUGAGGAGGAGGAGGAAGAGCUUGUUGCACCUCCUGCCAAGACUCAGAAGCCGAUGGGGGAUGCCAUCAGGACUGGGGCUACUCCUUCUAAGCCCAAGUCUGCCCCCAAGCCCAAAGCUCCAGCUGAAGCUCCCAAGAGAUCAACAAGGAACAUCUCAGCUACUGAAAAGAACAAGGCCCAAGUGCCUGAAGCUCAAGAAGAGGAAGAGCCACUAGUGCUCAAAAAGCUCAAGCCCAAGAUUCCAUACCACAUCCUGUGGUAGAGAAUAUGAAGUUAAGAAAGGAUGCAGAUCUAAGACUAUGGAGGAAGACUGAUUCUUAUGCCACUAGAAGGAGGACUGUUGUGGACUGCUGCUUUCACACCAAGGAACAACAAGACUUCUAUGAGACUGUCCUAUUGGACAAGAAACCCAUUGUGUGUGGCAUGAAAUGGGUGGACUAGAAGUACAUUGACACCAAUGAAGACUACUUUCCUCAUGUGCAUGAAAGCUUCAGAAUGAAUGGUGUUGAUGCAUUUGUGGGACAGAAGUUGACAAAGUGGAAUGAUGAGAUGAUAAUGCAAUUCUACUCCACAGCUCACUUCUACCAUGAUGGAAAGUUAGUAUGGAUGACAGAAGGAACCAAAUAUCAGUCAACUAUCUCAGGAUGGGAAGUUGAUCAAUGCCCCCGAGGAAGCUGAAGAUGAUCUUGAUGCGUACAGUAAUCCAAGAAAGAAUCACAACUCCAUGGCUAACAUGUACAAGCCAAUCCCAAAUGUAGCAUUGGACACACACAAGUUUGGCUCUAUAUAUUAUUUGCUUGCUGGUUUGACCACCGUGAAUACCAUCUUGAGGCACAACUUAUUGCCCAAGUCAGGAGAUCAUAGGAUGAUUCGUCGUCACUCCAUCAACUUGCUACACUUGUUUGAUGUUCCACAGAAAUUCAAGGUGAUGAGCUUGAUAGUAAAGACUGUGAAGAGAACAUCUACAGACCAAAAGAGGUCUUGUGGAUAUCCCCCUCACAUUCAGACUUUGAUCAACUCCAAGAUGGGAACUGGGACAUAUAUACUGGACAGAGAGCACCUUCCCCUUAGGCCAUACUUUGAGGACAACGAGGUUGUAAUGGAUGCUUCACAUCCUACUUGUGCAGAUGCCCAGGAGAAGAUAAAGAGAGCAAAGGCUGCAAAAGCAGCAAAGGCAGCAAGUGCCCUAGAUGCUUCAGUUGAAAAUCUCAAGACCAAGCAAGAUCAACUUAGUUAUCUUCUUGAGGCCACCGUGAGAAUUGAGAAGAGCUUGGCCACCAUGACUCAAAAUCAGGAAAGUCAGCAAAGGCAGCAAGUGCCCCAGAUGCUUCAGUUGCAAAUCUCAAGACCAAGCAAGAUCAACUCAGUUAUCUGCUUGAGGCUGAUACGUAUCCAACAUAUCUAUAAUUUAUGAAGCAUUCAUGCUAUUUUAUUAUCUGUUUUGAAUGAUUAUGGGCUUUAUUAUACACUUUUAUAUUACUUUUGGGACUAACCUAUUAACCGGAGGCCCAGCCCAUAUUGCUGUUUUAUUGCCUGUUUCAGUAUUUCGAAGAAAAGGAAUAUCAAACGGACUCCAAACAGAAUGAAACCUUUCGCAGCGUGAUUUUUGGAACGAGCGUGACCCAGGAAACUUGGUGUGCAAGCCAGGGGAGCAUCGAGGAAGCCACAAGAUAGGGGGGCACGCCCACCCCCUAGGCGCGCCCUCCACUCUUGUGGGCCCCUCGAGGCUCCCGCGACCGACUUCUUUCGCUUAUAUAAGCCUACGUACCCUAAAAACAUCGACAACGAAAAUAGAUCAGGAGUUCCGCCACCGCAAGCCUCUGUAGCCACCAAAAACCUCUCGGGAGCCCGUUCCAGCACCCUGUCGGAGGGGGAACCCAUCACUGGUGGCCAUCUUCAUCAUCCCGGCGCUCUCCAUGACGAGGAAGGAGUAGUUCACCCUCGGGGCUGAGGGUAUGUACCAGUAGCUAUGUGUUUGAUCUCUCUGUCGUGUUCUCUCUAUGGCACGAUCUUGAUGUAUCGCGAGCUUUGCUACUAUAGUUGGAUCUUAUGAUGUUUCUCCCCCUCUACUCUCUUGUGAUGAAUUGAGUUUUCCUCUUGAAGUUAUCUUAUCGGAUUGAGUCUUUAAUGAAUUGCGAACACUUGAUGUAUGUCUUGCCGUGCGUAUCUGUGGUGACAAUGGGAUAUCACGUGAUCCACUUGAUGUAUGUUUUGGUGAUCAACUUGGGGAUUCCGCCCAUGAACCUAUGCAUAGGGGUUGGCACACGUUUUCGUCUUGACUCUCCGGUAGAAACUUUGGGGCACUCUUUGAAGUACUUUGUGUUGGUUGGAUAGAUGAAUCUAAGAUUGUGUGUAACAUAUCGUAUAAUCCUGCCCACGGAUACUUGAGGUGACAAUGGAGUAUCUAGGUGACAUUAGGGUUUUGGUUUAUUUGUGUCUUAAGGUGUUAUUAUAGUACGAACUCUUGAAUAGAUCGAUCUGAAAGAAUAACUUUGAGGUGGUUUCAUACCCUACCAUAAUCUCUUCGUUUGUUCUCCGCUAUUAGUGGCUUUGGAGUGACUCUUUGUUGCAUGUUAAGGGAUUGUUAUAUGACCUAUCUAUGUUAUUAUUGUUGAGAGAACUUGCACUAGUGAAAGUAUGAACCCUAGGCCUUGUUUCCUAUCAUUGCAAUACCGUUUACGCUCACUUUUAUCAUUAGUUACCUUGCUGUUUUUAUAUUUUCAGAUUACAAAAACCUAUAUCUACCAUCCAUAUUGCACUUGUAUCACCAUCUCUUCGCCGAACUAGUGCACCUGUACAAUUUACCAUUGUAUUGGAUGUGUUGGGGACACAAGAGACUCUUUGUUAUUUGGUUGCAGGGUUGUUUGAGAGAUACCAUCUUCAUCCUAUGUCUCCUACGGAUUGAUAAACCUUAGGCCAUCCACUUGAGGGAAAUUUGCUACUGUCCUACAAACCUGUGCACUUGCAGGCCCAACAACGUCUACAAGAAGAAGGUUGUGUAGUAGACAUCAAGCUCUUUUCUGACGCCGUUGCUGGGGAGGUGAGUGCUUGAAGGUAUAUCUUUAGAUCUUGCAAUCAAAUCUUUUUGUUUCUUGUUUUAUCACUAGUUUAGUUUAUAAAAGAAAACUACAAAAAGAAUGGAGUUAAGUUUGUCUCAUACUCUUCAUCUUUUUAAUAUCUUUCGUGAGUAUGAUGAAAAGGAAAAUUGUGCUCAAUUCCUAGAAGAAGAAUGCAUUACAAUGUUUGGUACUAGAUCUUUGUAUGAUGAGCAUGAUUGCAAUGUUGUUAGUAUGAAUUCCUUGAAUAUCCAUGAUGCUAAUGAUAUGCAAAGCCACAAGCUUGGGGAAGCUAUAUUUGAUUUAGAUGAUAUUUUUUGUCCCCCAAGUUUUGAUGAGAAAAUUUAUUAUGAUGAUAGCAUGCCUCCUAUUUAUGAUGCUUAUAUUGAUGAAAGUGGAUUUGGAAGAGUGUCAACUUUAUUUAGUGAUGAUUACACUACUUCGGAAGAGGUUCCAAUUGAUUAUGAGAACGAAGUUGCUAUCUAUGAUGAUUAUUGUGAUGAAACUUAUGCUAUAAAAAGUAGUGAUGAUUAUAUUUAUAAAACUUGCCAUGAUUAUGAUUACCCUUUUUCUGAACAUUACUCUUUUAAUGUGGAAACAAUUUUUAGUGUUCAAGUCUUUAUGAUAUUUCCACUAUUCAUGAGAAGAAAUUUGCUUAUGUGGAGAGUAGUAAAUUUUCUAUGCUUGUAGAUCAUGAAAAGAAUGCUUUAGGUGCUGGUUAUAUUGUUAAAUUCAUUCAUGAUGCUACUGAAAAAUUAUGAGGGAGGAAUAUAUGCUUGUAGGAAUUGCAAUAAUGCCAAGUUUCCUCUCUAUGUGUUGAAAAUCUUGAAACUAUGCUUGUUUUGCCUUCCUAUGCUAGUUGAUUAUUGCUCCCAUAAGUUGUUUGCUCACAAAAUCCCAAUGCAUAGGAAGUGGGUUAGGCUUAAAUGUGUUAUUCAUAUGCUUCAUGAUGCUCCCGUUAUGUUUCAAUUCUUAUCUUUUAUGUGAGCAUCAUUGCCAUCAUCAUGCCUAGCUAGAAAGGCAUUAAAGAAAAGCGCUUGUUGGGAGACAACCCAAUAUUUACCCUUACUGUUUUUGUGUGUUCACAUGAUUAUGCUACUGUAGUAAUCAUGUUUUAUAGCUUUUGUUUCAGUAAAGUACCAAGUGAGACCUUUAGGAUAGCUUACAGUGAUAGUUGUGUUGAUCCUGCUGAGAAUCAGAAACUUUUGCACCCAGUAAAUUAGUUCUAUUAAUUCACAGAAACGUGCUGCUGAUUUGAUUCUUUCUGAUAUGGAUUGGUACACAAAUUUCUUAGGACUUCCUAAUUUUGUACAAGUUUUGGAGUUCCAUAAGUAUACGUUUGAUACAGAUUACUACAGACUGUUCUGUUUCUGACAGAUUCUGUUUUCUGUGUGUUGUUUGCUUAUUUUGAUGCUUCUAUGGCUAGUAUUAAGUGGUAUGAACCAUAGAUAAGUUGUAAUAAAGUAGAUAUUACAAAAAUAUGAAUUUAGAAUGAGUUCAUUACAGUACCUAAGUGGUGGUUUUAUUUUCUUAUACUAACGGAGCUUACGAGUUUUCGGUUGAGUUUUGUGUUGUGAAGUUUCCAAGUUUUGGGUAAAGAUUCGAUGGAAUAUGGAAUAAGGAGUGGCAAGAGCCUAAGCUUGGGGAUGCCCAAGCCACCCCAAGAUAAUAUUCAGGAAUAGCCAAAAGCCUAAGCUUGGGGAUGCCCCAGAUGGCAUCCCCUCUUUCGUCUUCGUUCAUCGGUAGCUUUACUUGGAGCUAUAUUUUUAUUCACCACAUGAUAUGUGUUUUGCUUGGAGCGUCAUUUUAUUUUGUUAGUUUUUCUUGCUGUUAUUUAUAAUAAUGUUUUGCAUCUAUAGUUUCAAUAAGAAUGUCAAGGAUAGCCUAUAUCAUGCUUAUUUUGCUAGUACACAUGUUGCUGUUUGAAAACAGAAAGUUUACCGUUGUUGGAAAAAUUCCCUAGAAAAUUUAGAGAAUGCUAUAGUGUUGAAACUUUUUGCAUAAUGAGCUCUGAUAAAUAUUCUACAGCGUAGUAUUUUUCUCAUAAUUUUUGGAGUUAUGGAAGUAUUGAUACUCUUGCAUUCUUUACAGACUGUACUGUUUUGGCAGAUUGCUGUUAUGUUUACAUUGUUUGCAUAUGUUUGCUUGUUUAAUGAUUCUAUUUGACGAUAGGAGUAUUAAAUAUGCAGAGGUAUUUAGUAUGCAAUGUUGAAUAAUAAUUUUUGUGAUUUGUUACAGUAGAAAAUGAUAAGGUUUUGCAUUGGUUUAUACUAACCUAUCUCACGAGUUCUUGUUGAGUUUGGUGUGGAUGAAGCUUUUUGAUAAAAAGAGAAACCAUGAUAUAAGAGGAAUUAAGGAGACACAAAAGUUCAAUCUUCGGGAUGCCCAAGGCACCCCAAGAUAAUAUUUCAAGGAGUCUCAAGCUCUAAGCUUGGGGAUGCCCCGUUAGGCAUCCCACCUUUCUUCUUCAACAACUAUCGGUUAGUAUCGGUUGAGCCUAAGUUUUUGCUUCUUCACAUGAGUUGUGCUAUCCUUGCAAUGUCAUUUUAUUUUGUUUUGCUUGUCGUUUGAAUACAAUACCAAGAUCUGAAAUUCUUUAAUGAGAGAGAGUCUUCACAUAGUUACAUAAUUAUUUAGCUACUCAUUGAUCUUCACUUAUAUUUUUUUGGAGUAGUUUUUCAUUCACUCGUGUGCUUCAGUUAUUUCCUAUGAGUAAAUUGUUGAAUGAGUUAAUUGUCAUAAAUCUGAAAUUAUAUAUGUUUCAUUUGCUUAUCCCAUGGGGAGUAAUGACGUCACAUCUAAGAAGUAGAGGUUGUAAAUUUAUUGAAGGUUAGCAAGCAUUGUAUUGGUCAUUUGAACAAUUCAUGAAAGAAUAUUGAAGGAAAAGAGAUUUCACAUAUAAAUAUACUAUCCUAGACAUCUUUUAUAAUUGUGAGCACUCAUUAAGUAUGACAUGCUAAAGAGUUGAUGUUGGACAAGGAAGACAACGUAAUGGGUUAUGUUUUCGCACAUCUCAGUUAAAGUAUAUUGUUAUGGAUCAUUCAAACAUGUUGAUCUUGCUUUUCCCCCUCAUGCUAGCCAAAAUUCCUUGCACCAAAUAGAGAUACUACUAGUGCUUCCAAAUAUCCUUAAACCCAGUUUUGCCAUGAGAGUCCACCAUACCUACCUAUGGAUUGAGUAAGAUCCUUCAAGUAAGUUGUCAUCCGUGCAAGCAAUAAAAAUUGCUCUCUAAAUAUGUAUGAUCUUUUGGUGUGAAGAAAAUAGCUUUAUACGAUCUUGUUAUGGAGGCAAUAAAAGUGAAGGACUGCAUAAUAAAGGUCCAUAUACAAGUGGCAAUAUAAAGUGAUGUUCUUUCACAUUAAGAUUUUGUGCAUCCAACCCUAAAAGCGCAUGACAACCUCUGCUUCCCUUUGCGAAGGGCCUAUCUUUUACUUUAUGUCUUUUACUUUAUGCAAAAGUCAAGGUGAUCUUCACCUCUCCCUUUUUCAUUUUAUCCUUUGGCAAGUACCUCGUGUUGGAAAUAUCCUGAUAUAUAUAUCCAAUUGGAUGUAAGUUAGCAUGAACUAUUAUUGUUGACAUCACCCAAAGGUGAAUACGUUGGGAGGCAACACUAUAAGCCCCUAUCUUUCUCAGUGUCCGAUUGAAACACCAUAACCAUUAGUAUUGCGUGAGUGUUAGCAAUCGUAGAAGACUAUAUGAUAGUUGAGUAUGUGGAGUUUGCUAUUCCUGAAAAUAAGAUGAAUUGUAAUUGUUUGAUGACUGAGUAUGAAGUUUGCUAGUUUUCAAGAAAGUUUAUGGUCUAUGCUUUAACAUGUGAAUUGCUUGUUACUUGUUCGUGAGAAGUUUUAUGAGAUGAACUACUGUUAUGACUUAUAAUCAUGCUAGCAAAGGUGGUUGAAAUUAUCAUUGAUCAAACUUGUGCACCUUCUAGCAUCCACACUACAUAAAUUCUUUAUUUUAUCAUUUACCUACUCGAGGAUGAGCUGGAAUUAAGCUUGGGGAUGCUGAUACGUCUCCAACGUAUCUAUAAUUUAUAAAGCAUUCAUACUAUUUUAUUAUCUGUUUUUAAUGAUUAUGGGCUUUAUUACACAAUUUUAUAUUACUUUUGGGACUAACCUAUUAACUGGAGGCCCAGCCCAUAUUGUUGUUUUAUUGCCUGUUUCAGUAUUUCGAAGAAAAGGAAUAUCAAACGGAGUCCAAACGGAAUGAAAACUUCGGCAGCAUGAUUUUUGGAACGAACGUGACCCAGGAAACUUGGAGUGCAAGCCAGGGGAGCAUCGAGGAAGCCACAAGAUAGGGGGGCGCGCCCACCCCCCUGGGCGCGCCCUCCACUCUUGUGAGCCCCUCAAGGCUCCCCCGACCGACUUCUUUCGCCUAUAUAAGACUACGUACCCUAAAAACAUCGACAAAGAAAAUAGAUCGGGAGUUCCGCCGCCGCAACCCUCUGUAACCACCAAAAACCUCUCGAGAGCCCAUUCCGGCACCCUGCCUGAGGGGGAACCCAUCACCGGUGGCCAUCUUCAUCAUCCUGGCGCUCUUCAUGAUGAGGAGGGAGUAGGUCACCCUUAGGGCUGAGGGUAUGUACCAGUAGCUAUGUGUUUGAUAUUUAUCUCUCUCUCUCGUGUUCUCUCUAUGGCACGAUCUUGAUGUAUCGUGAGCUUUGCUAAUAUUGUUGGAUCUUAUGAUGUUUCUCCCCCUCUACACUCUUGUGAUGAAUUGAGUUUUCCUCUUGAAGUUAUCUUAUCGGAUUGAGUCUUUAAUGAUUUGAGAACACUAGAUGUAUGUCUUGUCGUGCAUAUCUGUGGUGACAAUGGGAUAUCGUGUGAUCCACUUGAUGUAUGUUUUGGUGAUCAACUUGCGGGUUCCGCCCAUGAACCUAUGCAUAGGGGUUUGCACACAUUUUCGUCUUGACUCUCUGGUAGAAACUUUGGGGCACUCUUUGUAGUACUUUGUGUUGGUUGAAUAUAUGAAUCUGAGAUUGUGUGAUGCAUAUCAUAUAAUCAUGCCCACGGAUACUUGAGGAGACAAUGGAGUAUCUAGGUGACAUUAGGGUUUUGGUUGAUUUGUGUCUUAAGGUGUUAUUCUAGUACGAACUCUUCAAUAGAUCGAUCCAAAAGAAUAACUUUGAGGUGGCUUCAUGCCCUACCAUAAUCUCUUCAUUUGUUCUCCGCUAUUAGUGGCUUUGGAGUGACUCUUUGUUGCAUGUUGAGGGAUUUUUAUAUGAUCUAUCUAUGUUAUUAUUUUUGUGAGAACUUGCACUAGUGAAAGUAUGAACCCUAGGCCUUGUUUCCUAUCAUUGCAAUACCGUUUACGCUCACUUUUAUCAUUAGUUACCUUGCUGUUUUUAUAUUUUCAGAUUAUAAAAACCUAUAUCUACCAUCCAUAUUGCACUUGUAUCACCAUCUCUUCGCCGAACUAGUGCACCUAUACAAUUUACCAUUGUAUUGGGUGUGUUGGGGACACAAGAGACUCUUUGUUAUUUGGUUGCAGGGUUGUUUGAGGGAGACCAUCUUCAUCCUGCGCCUCCUACGAAUUGAUAAACCUUAGGUCAUCCACUUGAGGGAAAUUUGCUACUGUCCUACAAACCUGUGCACUUGCAGGCCCAACAACAUCUACAAUAAGAAGGUUGUGUAGUAGACAUCAAAGGCCACCAUGAGAAUUGAGAAGAGCUUGGCCACCUUGACUCAAAAUUAGGAAAGUCUUCAGAGUAUCAUUGAGACUAAAUUCCAUGAUCUAGAUGUGAAGGUCACUGCGAUACAAACCAUUGUGGAGAAGUUACAAUAGGAUGCGGAGGAUCGCGAUGAUAGACCCACGACAAACACAUUUCAGAGAGUGCCAAGGGCACAAAGAUCAUCUGCUAUGCUAGAUGCUAGAGACUCCAGGACUGCCACUUCAGCACCUGCAGCCACUGCCACAGUUGUACCUCCAGUGUCAACACCUCCAGCUCCACAGACGCCUUCAGAGGCAUUUGCAGAUGUCCUCCUCUCCACGUUAUCUACGCACACCAUAGCAAAAAUCCAUAAGACCCCUUCAGGAGCUCCCAGAGGUCGUGCCUCGAGUGUCGUAUAGCACUAUAUGUUUUCAAACUUUUUGGUAACUUGUUGCCAAAGGGGGAUAAAGCGUAUAGAUCAUAGGCUUCAAGAGAGAGAGAGAGAGAGUAUGUGUUUUGCUUUUUGUUGGUUGGUUUCAUUUGCUACUCUUUCUACUUUGGUCGUUUGGUUGUUUGAUUCCUAUUCUACAAUUUGUGCUUUGCUCGUGAGAUACUUACGUGAUCAUGUGUUUGAUCAUACUAUGCUUAAUGUUUGCUUGCAUGCUUAUAUCCAUGAUAAUUUGUGUAUGAUGAUCAAUCAUUUGUAUCCUUGGUGAUGAGUGCAUGUUAUUCAACUCUUAUCAUUUUGAGCGCUCCACCAAGAUGUAUGUGACAUGGAAGAGUGACCCAAGAUCCUAAUCGAUUGUGCAUUUGCAUUCAAAAGCAAAUUUUAAAUAAUGCACAAAUUUAGGGGGAGCUCUUUCUUAUCACAUACUUCUCAAAGCGACGAAGUAUUUCAUUAAUAUUAUCAUUUUUCAAAGCUUUGAUCUAUAUGUUGUCAUCAAUUACCAAAAAGAGGGAGAUUGAAAGUGCAACUAAUCCCCGGGUGGUUUUGGUAAUUCAUAACAUAUAGCUCAUUGAAGAUUGGUUAGGUGUCUCUUGGGAGCCUCCGACAAGAUUGUGGAGUUGAACCAAGAAGUUGGUAAGGGCAAGGAGAUCGCCUACUUUGUGAAGAUCUACCCUAGUGAGGCAAGUCCUUCAUGGGAGAUGGCCAUGGUGGGAUAGACAAGGUUUCUUCUUCAUGGACCCUUCAUGGGUGGAGCCCUCCGUGGACUCGCGUAACCGUUACCCUUCGUGGGUUGAAGUCUCCAUCAACAUGGACAUACGAUAGCACCACCUAUCGAAACCAUGCCAAAAAUCUCCGUGUCAUCAUUGCGUUUGCACUCUCCAAACCCUUCCAUUUACCUUCAUAUGCAAUGUUUUACUUUCUGCUGCCACACUCUUAGAAUUGCAUGUGUAGGUUCAUUGCUUGACUUGUGCUAAGUUGCUAAGAUCUGCUCACAACUGAAAUUGGGAAAAGGUUAGAUUUUUGUUUGGUCAACUAGUGUAAUCACCCCCCCCUUUAGACCUACUUUCGAUCCUACACCAUAUAUAUCCCCUUUUGCCCUGAAAAAAAGGGGAAAACAGGGAGGAACAAAAUGGAGGAACUAGGUGGUCCGUUAAUCACGUGCUCAACCCCGGCACAUGCCAAGGGAUCAAUGUUAACAUUCACAAUUAAUGAAACAUCAUGAAAAAGAGAAAAAAAUGGUCCCUCCCUCCUUUCCCUUACUUCUAAUGAUCCCUCAGCAACCGGCGUGAAAGACACGCUGGCGCAUGGGGCCUUGCCCUGGAUUGCUUGCCGGGGGUGCCAACCGGCGGAUUCGCCCCAGUAUUCAACUCAGGAUUUACCCUUGGCGGAAUAAAUGCAUGACUGAGCUUCAUGCGGGCUUAUUGAUGUCGGCGGCAUCACCGCUAUGCAAUCCGAUCAUUGGUGAGGAAGAAGGAGAGGGAGGCCAAGUACGCACCAUUCUCUUAUCAGUCAGACCGAGUGGCACCUCUUGUGACUAGGUGUGCUCGAUAGAGGACGGUGAGAAGGACGGUGCCGCUGCUCGGCCCGUCCCUCCUUUCGACCACAGACAGCAUGGCGGCUAUGCUAUCCAUGCCAGCGGCGGCAACCAUAGCGCCGACGUCCCUCGCUCUCGCCGUUGCCGCUGUUGCGGCAAGAUGUGCGAUGGAGUCUUGGAAGGAGGAGGCUAGGGAGCAGCAUUGCUCCUCUUCUUCGAAACCAUGGACGAAGAAGGUGACGAUGAAGAUCGACGCACUGUUCACAACUUCGGGUUCGCGGAAGCGAUUUUCCCCUACCUGGCGCGCCAAAGAUGUCGUGGGUGAACACAAUCACCUAUGGGACCACGGGCCCCUUUGUGGUUCGGCGGGGGGGGGGGAGACACGUUGCACAAAGAGCGGAGGCCAUGAGGAAGCACGGUGACGAGACUCCGGUGAUUUUUACCCAGAUUCGGGCUGCUGAGAAGUGUAAAACCCUACUCUUGAUUUAGUGGAUUGGUUAGAGAAACACGACGACACACAUCACUCAAACCCCGCAAGGUAGCCUCGGGGAGAGCUGCUACGUGAGUACAAGUGUCAGAGGGUUCAAAUUCCCUCUCUAAUUGCGCUGGACAUCCUUUUAUAGCCCAAGGGGUAACCAUAGUGGCAAAACAGACAUUAUCUUGUUAUUAGAUAGCCGACAGUGCUAUCAUACCUAACUUUGGCACUUAGGACAAAAUGCCAUAUAUGCUACCUUAGGUGGCGAGCGGAGGUGCAUCCCCAGCAAGCUUACAUCGCCGCCUAACCAGCUUUUGCUUAUCAUCUUGACAUGCUCCUGGACGGGUGUCAAAUGGGUGUGAUCUAUCUUCCAUCAAACCGCCACAUGCUUAGUGAGCGCCACUUUGCUGCCUGGGGGCUCGACACUGCAUCGAUAAGUGACUGGCGUCAUGAUGCGGUGGAGCAGUGGUAUUUGGCAUGUGCCUGCCGGGGGCAAAGCUUGCCGGGCCUUCUUGGAGGGGUGCGCGCUUCGGUCUCCUGUCAUCCUGAAGACGCGGCUAGCGCAGUUAGGUUCACUCUUGUUUGUUGUAUCGAUCUUGCCGGCCUAGCCUGGCCAGCAAAAGACACUUUUCUUGGAAUCUUUGCCUUGUAUGUUGGCUUGGUCUUUUUGAUACACUCCUUGAUCUCACGAAGAGCGGCUUCUCUGGCUCAGCCUUGUGUUGGCUCGACUUGGGCUUGUAUCGACGGGUUCUGCUAUAUUGAGGUAAGCCAUUUUCCCGACAAGCCCUGGCCAUCGGGCCAGAGGCUUUUUGUCCAUGCACAAGUCAGGGGAAACAAACACCCCUGUUUGUGUACCCCGACAACAUCCUCACAAAUACCGAUAGGUAUGGCAGUUGAUUUAUCAGCCAUUUGCAAAGAUAUUUCAGUAGGUGUGAGUUUAUUCAAAUCAAGUCUUUAUAUAAAAAGAAAUGCAUAACACUAACACUAGCUCUUAAAUCACACAAAGCAGUUUUGACAUGAUUUCUCUUGAUGGAGCAUGGUAUAGUUGGUAUUCCUGGAUCUUCAAGUUUUUUGGUUCUCCAUCGAUAAAAGAAUAAUUAUCAAGCAUGUUGGAGAUUUCAGCUUCAGGUAUCUUUCUCUUAUUAGUGAUGAUGUCUUUCAUGUAUUUUGCAUAAGGGGCCAUCUUUAAAAUAUCAGUCAAGCGGGUGCGCAAAAUGACUGGCCUAAGCAUUUCAGCAAAGCGUUCAAAUUCUUCAUAAUCUUUUUUCUUAGUUGGUUUAGGUGGAAAGGGCAUGGGUUUUUUAACCCAUGGUUCUCUUUAUUUUCCAUGUUUUCUAGUAACAAAGUCUCUUUUUUCAUAUCUUUUAUUUUUAGGUUGUAGGUUAUCAACAUCAACAGCAGGUUCUAUUUCAACAUCAUUAUCUGGUUCUUUAUGAUUGUCUGGUUCGGUUUCUUCAUGAACAUCACCAUUAUCUUUUUCAUUAUCAGUAGGUUAAUGUUAAUUACCAGAUUGAGUUUCACCAUCUGAGAUAGAGACAUCAUUAUUAUCUUCAGGAGGUUUUUCUAUUUCAGGUUCACUAGAGGUAUGGAAAGUCCUAUCAUUUUUCUUUUUCUUCUUCUUUUUAUAAGGACUAGGUGCAUGAGUAUUAAUUAUUUGAGAGUCUUGUUCAAUUCUUUUAGGGUGUCCCUCAGGAUAAAGUGGUUCCUCAAUCAUUUUGUCUCCUCUAGUUACUACUCUAACAACAUAGUCAUUCGUAUUAUUAUUCAUUUCACUAAGCAAUUCAAUUUGGGAUUUAGCAACUUGUUCUAACUGAGUUUGAAACAUAAAGGCAUGUUUUCCUACACCUCUAACGUCAUUAGUGAUUGUAAAUAACAAGUCACUCAAGUGAACAAUCAUACCAAAGUUGUAUUUCAAUUGUUUCAUAACAUUUGCAUUAAAGUGAUCUUGUUUGAUGAUGUACCUAUCAAAUUCAUAUAUGCAUUGACUAGGGUGUUUAUUGUAAGGGAUGUCACUUUAAUCAACUUUACGAUUUUUUUACCUCCACCACCUAUGGUGGUGGUUUGUCAAGUCCAUAUAUUUCAUCAAUAGGUGGGAAAUUAUUAACAUCUUCAGCUUUGAUACCUUUUUCCUUCAUACAUUUCUUUGCGUCUUGCACAUCUUCAGGACUGAGAAAUAAGAUACCCCUCUUCUUUGGAGUGGGUUUAGGCGGUGGUUCAGGAAGAGUCCAAUCAUCAUAAUUCUUCAAUAUAUUAUUAAACAAUUCCUCAUCUUGUUCAAUAGUUUGUUCCCUGAAAACACAACCAACACAACUAUCUAGGAAGUCCCUAGAAGUAUCAGUUAGUCCAUUAUAGAAGAUAUCAAAGUAUUUCAUUUUCUUAAGAGGAUGAUUAGUCAAAGCAUUAAGCAAUUGGAGAAGCCUCCCCCCAGCUCGUGGGAGACUCUCUUAUUCAAUUUCCACAAAAGUUAAAUAUUUCCUUUAAGGCACCUUGUUUCUUAUGAGCAGGAAAAUAUUUUCCAGAGAAUACUUUAUCUAUUUCAUUUCUUUCAUGCAAGUGCAUAUCAUUUUCAUGGUCUGGCAAAUAUUGUUCUAAAGGAUCAGUAGGAGGCAUAGCAAUAGAAGCAAGACCAGCUAUUUUAUCCUUACUAGGCAAUUCUUUAUUAUGAGGUUGUCUAAUAAACUUGAUGAACUAGAUGCAUAGGAUAAUUUUUUUGGUGAAAUUCCAAUUUCAAUUGAUUCCACUUCCAAGAUCCAAUAUCAUCGCAUAGCCUAUACAAUGCCAAUGUUUUUCCCUUCACAAAUAAAGGGAAAACCUUCUUCUUAGCUUCAUCUCCGGGUAAACCUACAAGCUUAAAUAAUCCACAAAUUUCAUCCACAUAGAUCAAGUGCAUAUCAGGAUGUUCUGUUCCAUCUCCUCCAUAAGGAUUAACUAGCAGUUGUUCUGUCAUACCCGAAGGAAUUACAUAACCAAUAUUUUCAGUAGGUGCAGUAGGUUGAGGGGCAACUAAUUGUGCUUCCGGUCGAGGUGAAGAAACCCCGAACAAACCCCUCAAAGGAUGGUUUUCCAUAGUAAGAAGUGACAAUAACUUUCAGCACGUAGUAAUAAUUUUUCCUUACCAAUUUCCACUUACCAAGAAUGCUUCACACUCGGAAAACAGUGCCAGAAAAGAGUCUUGAUGACCCAAAAGUAUAGGGGUUAAUCAUAGUCCUUUCGAUAAGUAAGAGUGUUGAACCCAACGAGGAGCCGAAGGAAAUGACAAGUGGUUUUCAACAAGGUAAUUUCUACAAGCACUGAAAUAGUCGGUAACAGGUAGUUUGAUAGCAAUAUAAUUUGCAACGAACAAGUAACGGUAACGGUAAAUAAAGUGCAGCAAGGUAGCCCAUUCCUUUUGUGGCAAAGGACAGGCCAAAACGGACUCUUAUAAUAAGCAAAGCGUUCUUGAGGGCACACGGCAAUUUUAUCUAGUCACUUUCAUCAUGUUUGUUUGAUUCACGUUCGCUACUUUGAUAAUUUGAUAUGUGGGUGGAUCGGUGCUUGGGUGCUGUUCUUACUCUAACAAACCUCCCACUUAUGAUUAACCCCCUCGCAAGCAUCCGCAACUACAAGAAAAAUAUUAAGAUAAAAUCUAACCAUAGCAUUAAACAUAAUUGGAUCCAAAUCGGUCCCUUACAAAGUAGCGCAUAAACUAGGCUUUAAAAUUCUGUCACUCUAGCAACCCAUCAUCUAACAACUACUCCACAAUGCAUUCCCUUAGGCCCAAAGAUGGUGAAGUGCCAUGUAGUCGACGUUCACAUAACACCACUAAGGGAACCACAACAUACAUAUCAACAAAAUAUCAAACACAUACCAAGUUCACAUGUUUACUUGCAACAUGACUUCUCCCGUGACCUCAAGAACAAAAGUAACUACUCACAAAUGAUAAUCAUGCUCAAUAUUAGAGGGGUAUUAGAUAGCAUAAUGGAUCUGAACAUAUAAUCUUCCACCAAAUAAUCCAUAUAGUAAUCAACUACAAGAUGUAAUCAAUACUACCACUACAGGAAUCUGCUACUUUGCCAUCUGCCACGGCGGACGGCAAAGGCAUGGAUGGCGGACGGCAAAGACCUUUGCCGUCAGCCGCGGAUGGCAAAAGGUGACGGCAAAGUAGGGGACGGCUAAGAGCUGCAUUGCCAUCUGCUUCGGGCAGCUGACGGCAAAGGGUCCUUUGCCAUCAGCAGCGGACGGCAAAGAAGAUGGACAACAAUAAAUGCGUGUUACUCCGUUAGGUGGUUAACGGCAGGCCUUUGCCGUCCGCUGCGGAUGGCAAAGCCUUUGCCAUCAGCCACUGUAGGCAAACUGACCAAAUUGGUCAGCCUCCCAGGAAGCACAGUUGCCUGCCACGUGGCCUCCUUGCCGUCCGCUGCUGAUGGCAAAGAGCCCUUUGCCAUCGGUGGCAGAUGGCAAAGAGCCUGCAUAUUGUCUCUUUUUUCUGUUUUUUUAAUCCAACAAUUUUCACAGCAAAUAUAUAUGACAUAUAUAGAUAUAUUUAACAGCAAACAUAUCACAUAUCCAUCACAUAAUUCCAUAUACAUAUUACAUAGCAAAGUUUCAUCAACAUAGCAAGUUCCAUCAAGUUCCAUCCGUACACAUUGUUCCAUAUACAUAUUACAUAGCAAAGUUUCAUCAACAUAGCAAGUUCUAUCAUAGCAAGCUAGAUACAAUGCAAAGUUUUAGCAAAGAAAAAGCAAGCACUCCAUCAUAGCAAGCUAGCUUCCAUGAAGUGAAUGAAAUCUGCAAAAUGGUAAAUAAGAAAGUUAGAAAUAAGUGAAUAGAACAAGAAGAAGACUAGAACAAGAAGUAUAUGUCAUUUAUGAGCUAACUUAGGUGAAAUGGAUCAUAUAUGAGCUAACUAAGUUGAAAUGGGUUGUUCAUGAGCUAACUUUGGUGAAAUGGAUCAUUUAUGAGCUAACUUAGUUGAAAUGGGUCGUUUAUAAGCUAACUAAGGUGAAGGGCAUCGUUUUUGAGCUAAGUAAGGUGAAAUGGAUCGUUUUUGAGCUAACUUAGGUGAAAUGGAUCAUUUAUGAGCUUUUAGGAGCUAACUAAGUUGAAAUGGGUCGUUUAUGACCUAACUUAGGUGAAAUGGAUCAUUUAAGAGCUAAUUUAGGUGAAAUGGAUCGUUUUUAGCUAACUUAGGUGAAAUUGAUCAUUUAGGAGCAAAUCUAGGUGAAAUGGGUCAUUUUGGAGCUAACCAAGGUGAAAUGGGUCAUUUUGGAGCUAACCUAGGUCAAAUGGGUCAUUUUGGAGCUAACCUGGGUGAAAUGGGUCAUUUUAAAGCUAACGUAGGUAAAAUGGAUCAUUUACGAGCUAAUCUACUAAAAUGGGUCAUUUCAGAGCUAACUUGGAUAAAUUGGAUCACUUGUAAGCUAACUAAGUUAAUUAUGCAAUUUUUGACAUAAGUAAGCUUAUUAAGUCAUUUUGAAGGAAAAGAAGCUAACUCUAGGUCAUUAUGGUAAGCAUAUUGGAGGAAAUAAAGCUAAGUCUAAGUCUAGAGAAAUUUACCGUGAUCAGGGAGGUGUAGGAGCGGGCUGGCUUGUGCCGGUAGCUGGAGAAGGAUCGUGCGAUGCGUUUCUGGAGUUAAGCUGCACCAAAGAUCAUUUCCAAUGUCUCGUUAGCAUUAUGACACUCAAAUGUUAAGACUAGCAAGUAAUGUCCAUUCAAAUUAAACUCACCGUGCUCCCAGGAGCAAUCACUGGCAUCAGCGGAGCGGUCUGACCGGACUUCUCGCACACAGACUGCACAUUUGGUUUUCACAACAGAGUCAUACUAGUUAGUAAUGAGACUCAAAUGUUAAGACUAGCAAGUAAUCUGCAGAAGAAACUUACCACAAGGAGCUCAUACAUGGCCCUUGCCUGCAUGUCAUUCCGUGCCCUCUCCUCCUCCAACAUCUUUGUCGUCCUCUCCUCCAACUCCCGCUGCCUCUCCGCCGCCUCCGCCAGAAGUUUCUCCGUUCUAUCUCUCUCACUCUGUAUAGCAGCCUGCAAUACCACUCACAUGACCAUUUGUAAUCAUUGAUGGAAGCACACACAAUGUAAUGGAGAAAGAUAGCUGAGUACGUAUAACUAACCUUGAUGGCAAGUUGGACUGGCCGUUCACGAGGCCUUAUCUCAGGAGCGGAGCUCGACUGGCGCGCCUUGAUCUCUGGGAGAGUGCUAGGACAACGGAUAAGUCCAUCUCCCAUGGCUAUGGAGCCAUGGGACCUCCCGCCACCAGAUAUCAUCAGCAACUCUGUAUCAAUGGGACCCUAGCUCGGUUUAAAGUCCUCCCCUUUCCUCGCCUUCCCCUGAUCUCUAUAUUGCACGAGCUUUUCGUGGGCGGAGAUGUUGGUGAAGUUCUUUGGAUCAUCGAGGUCAGACGCAGAGAAUGCCUUGACUUUCUUGUAAGAGCCAGUGUGGGCCAUGGCAUACAGGUCGUACACCUCUGGCACCUUAUCCGCCUUAUUGUAGCGUGCCUGAAAGAGAGAAACAAAGUAAAUUAGUAAUUAAAGGGCUAAAGCUAGCAUGAUGAAUGAAUUGCAUGAAUCAUGAAGCAAACCACAUACCCAGUUCCGCUCGUACUGAAAUAAGUUGGAGCUGCCUUGGUGGUGUGGCACACCUUCCAUUUGGGCACGUUUGUCCUUGGCCUCGUUGUGGGUGGCCAGCCAUUCUUUUGAGCACCACCCAUCGACCAACACCUCCCAACAAUCCAUCCCAUCCACACACCAUCUCUGAGGGGCCUAAGCUAGCAAAUAGAAACUUCAGCGCUACGGCCAUGAAUUACUAAAUAAAGGAAUUAAGUACAAGGCCUUAAGAAUUACCUUCAUGUACUGCUCCUUACUCAAGAACUUAUCGCGGCACUCCUGCUUGGACUUCUUGAUACCACGGUCGGCGUAGUAGUCUCGAACAGACUGCACCCGAGCCUCAUGCCGUAAGUUCUGAAGUAGGCGCUUGCACUCCUUGUGGAUAACAUCUGCCGCCGCCUCCUCGUAUCCCUCCUCACACCUGUAGAAUGUCUGCAAUCAAAUGAGACAAUAUUGAUUAGUACAAUCAAUAACUAGCUAGUUGAAGAUUUUUAAUUGUGUAAAGGAGAAAUUACCCAGAACUUUCUGAUCACCAUGUCUGCCCUCGUCUUGCACAAGACACCAUCGAUAAUCUCACCCGGCGGGGCCGGGGCAGCCAAGUAGUGCUCCCAACUCAAUCCAACCUCUGGAAGCCGACCCUCACCAGGCAACGUGACAAACCCCAGAAAGUUUUGCCGAAUCAGAACUCCAAGGACGGAGUUGGGCCGACGGACACUUUCAUGGUGGUCCCAACCCCUGCAGCGUGACAAGGUCAACGCAUUAGUUAUUUGAAGAAACGUGAAUGCAGAAGGUACAAAAAUAUUAAAUGCACUUACCUCUCCCCAUCAGGGAAAAUCAACCACCUCUGCUCGCAGGUCGCCGGCACGGAUGGGAGCCGUGUAGCACCAUGCUGGUAGACGUUGCCCCCCUCCUCCCCCUCCUCCUCAAAACGAGUCGGCUCCCCGCCAUCAUCAGCAUGGCCACUCGGCUCCCCGCCAUCAUCAGCAUGGCCACUCGGCUCCUCAGGCUGACCCGACCAAGUACCCCAUCCAGACGUGUGCUCCUCCGGGGUCUCGUGGGCCCAACUCUCGUGGGCCGAAGGCCCGUCGACCCGAGGCUCGUGGGCCAAAGACCCGUGGACCGGAGGCUCGUGGACCGGAGUCCGUGUAGCCUCCUCCUCAGACGAGUCCACCCUAGCACUCACGUGCUCGGGUGAAACAGCUGGGGGCGGCAGCGAGGAAGGCGCCGUAAGAGCCACCCUACCUCCUCUCCCGCGACCACGUGCUCCACCUCGGCCCUUCUUCUUACCUUGUCCCCUGCUAGGCACCGCGGUCGACGAAGAAGGGCCCGGCGGUGUCGCCAUACUGUCCAGCAACGCUCGGCGGAGAGGUGCGUGUGGAAUGGAAGACCUCACACUACGCGCCGAUGAAGAAGGGGCCUCGGCGCGCUCCCGACCAGUGCCCACCAUCUGUCAACACCUGCCAUGACAAAGAAUAAACGAAAUUAGUACAACAUGAAAAAAAGUACCGACAUUAAUAAUAAUAUGUAUAUCACUGAAGUGUAUCAUCAUCAAGUACAACAUAAACAACUGCACAUUUAAAACUACCCGAUCAACACAAUUAUAUAUGAUGUUUUUCAUAACAAAAUCGAAAAAUAUAUGACCUAACUAAUAAUUCACAAAUAUAUGACCCCGUCGGCCUCUGAAAGGCCAAAGAACACCUUUUCGGGAGGUGUCGGGGGUCGGGGUGUCGUGUCGGUGUCGGGGUGCCGUGUCGGGGUCGGGGUCGGGGUGUCGGGUCGGGGUGCCGNNNNNNNNNNNGGUGUCGUGUCGGGGUGCCGGGUACCGUGUCGGGUCGGGUUUUUUUCCCUUUCUUCUUCUUCCUCCUUUUCCUUUUCUUCCUUUUUUCCUUCUUCUUCUUCUUCUUCUUCUUCUUCUUCUUCUUCUUCUUCCUCCUUUCCUUUUUCCUCUUCUUCUUCUCCUCCUCUCCUCUUUUUUCUUCUUCUUCUUCCUCUUCUUCUUUUUUCUUCUCCUCCUCCUCUUCUUCUUCUUCUCCUGAUCUCCUCUUUUUCUCUUUUUCUUCUUUCCUAAAACAAAACUAAACCUAAACCUAAAACUAAAAAAACAGAAAAAGAAAAAAACUAAAUCUAAACCUAAAACUAAACUAAAACUAAACCUAUAAACCUAAAACUAAAACUAAAUCUAAACUAAACAUAAACCUAAAACUAAAAAAACAGAAAAAAGGAAAAAAAGGAAGAAGAGACUCACCUGCAGGGUGGAGGAGGGGGGCGGUGCGGCCUAGGGCGGCGGCGGAGCGGGGCGNNNNNNNNNNNNNNNNNNNNNNNNNNNNNNNNNNNNNNNNNNNNNNNNNNNNNNNNNNNNNNNNNNNNNNNNNNNNNNNNNNNNNNNNNNNNNNNNNNNNNNNNNNNNNNNNNNNNNNNNNNNNNNNNNNNNNNNNNNNNNNNNNNNNNNNNNNNNNNNNNNNNNNNNNNNNNNNNNNNNNNNNNNNNNNNNNNNNNNNNNNNNNNNNNNNNNNNNNNNNNNNNNNNNNNNNNNNNNNNNNNNNNNNNNNNNNNNNNNNNNNNNNNNNNNNNNNNNNNNNNNNNNNNNNNNNNNNNNNNNNNNNNNNNNNNNNNNNNNNNNNNNNNNNNNNNNNNNNNNNNNNNNNNNNNNNNNNNNNNNNNNNNNNNNNNNNNNNNNNNNNNNNNNNNNNNNNNNNNNNNNNNNNNNNNNNNNNNNNNNNNNNNNNNNNNNNNNNNNNNNNNNNNNNNNNNNNNNNNNNNNNNNNNNNNNNNNNNNNNNNNNNNNNNNNNNNNNNNNNNNNNNNNNNNNNNNNNNNNNNNNNNNNNNNNNNNNNNNNNNNNNNNNNNNNNNNNNNNNNNNNNNNNNNNNNNNNNNNNNNNNNNNNNNNNNNNNNNNNNNNNNNNNNNNNNNNNNNNNNNNNNNNNNNNNNNNNNNNNNNNNNNNNNNNNNNNNNNNNNNNNNNNNNNNNNNNNNNNNNNNNNNNNNNNNNNNNNNNNNNNNNNNNNNNNNNNNNNNNNNNNNNNNNNNNNNNNNNNNNNNNNNNNNNNNNNNNNNNNNNNNNNNNNNNNNNNNNNNNNNNNNNNNNNNNNNNNNNNNNNNNNNNNNNNNNNNNNNNNNNNNNNNNNNNNNNNNNNNNNNNNNNNNNNNNNNNNNNNNNNNNNNNNNNNNNNNNNNNNNNNNNNNNNNNNNNNNNNNNNNNNNNNNNNNNNNNNNNNNNNNNNNNNNNNNNNNNNNNNNNNNNNNNNNNNNNNNNNNNNNNNNNNNNNNNNNNNNNNNNNNNNNNNNNNNNNNNNNNNNNNNNNNNNNNNNNNNNNNNNNNNNNNNNNNNNNNNNNNNNNNNNNNNNNNNNNNNNNNNNNNNNNNNNNNNNNNNNNNNNNNNNNNNNNNNNNNNNNNNNNNNNNNNNNNNNNNNNNNNNNNNNNNNNNNNNNNNNNNNNNNNNNNNNNNNNNNNNNNNNNNNNNNNNNNNNNNNNNNNNNNNNNNNNNNNNNNNNNNNNNNNNNNNNNNNNNNNNNNNNNNNNNNNNNNNNNNNNNNNNNNNNGGCGGCGCGCGUGUGUGGGAGGGAAACAGAGAGAGAGGGGGGUGGGGCGCGCCGGCCGUUAGAUACGUUUAAUCUUUGCCGUCCGCCACCUUUGCCGUCCGCUAAUGUGCGCUUUGCCGUCCGCUAGCGGACGACAAAGAGGGGGGCCAUUAAGUAUUUUUUAACCAGCUCCUCAGUGGGGCCCCCCUCCCUCUUUGCCGUCCGCUAGCGAACGGCAAAGAUUCUUUGUCGUCUGCUAGCAGACGGCAAAGAAUAGGAUGAUGGCAAAGGCUUUCUUUGCCAUCAGCCAGUUCUUUGCCGUGUGCUUUUAGGUAGCUGAUGGCAAAGAGCUUCUUUGCCGUCCGCUAGCUGACGGCAAAGAGAUGGCAGAUGGCAAAGUAGCUGAUUCCAGUAGUGUACUAGUCACCCACAUGUACCAAUCUGAGGUUCCGAUGCAAAGAUUGAACACAAGAGAUGAACUAGGGUUUGAGAGGAGAUGGUGUUGUUGAAGAUAUUGAUGAAGAUUGGCCUCCCAAAGAUGAGAGGGUUUUUGGUGAUUACGAUGGCUUCGAUUUCCCCCUCCGGGAGGGAAGUUCCCCCCGCAGAAUUGCUCCACCGGAGGGCAAAAGUGCUCCUGCCCAAGUUCCGCCUCGAGACGGCGGCGCUCUAUCCCAAAGUCCUUUUCUUAUUUUUUUUCUAGGUCAAAAUGACCUAUAUACCAGAAGAUGGGCACUAGAGGUGGGCUGGGCUGACCACAACCCACCAGGGCGCGCCUAGGGGGCCUGGGGCGCCCUGGUGUCUUGUGGUCACCAGGUGGCCCCCCUUCGGUACUUAUUUACUCCAGUAUUUUAUAUAUAUUCCAAAAUAAUUCUCCAUAAAUUUUCAGCUCAUUUGGAGAUGUGCAAAAUAGGUAUUUUUGACGUAGCUUUUCAGGUCCAGAAUUCCAACUGCCGGUAUUCUCCCUCUUUGUGUAAACCUUGCAUAUUAUGAGAGAAAAGGCAUUAGAAUUACUCCAUAAAGAAUUAUUAUGCAGAAAACAUUACAAAUGAUAGUAAGAAAACAUGAUGCAAAAUGGACAUAUCAACUCCCCCAAGCUUAGACCUCGCUUGUCCUCAAGGGAAACACCGAUAUCGAAAAACAUGCCCACAUGCUUAGAGAGAGAGGUGUCGAUAAAAACAAAAUAAGGACAUAAUAGCAUCAUGCUUAUUAUUAUAACAUCAACAAACUUUGUCACAAAAAAUUAUCACAUAACUUUAUCAUAUAAAUCUCAUGAAUACGUAACAAUUCAUCACAACAUCGAAGUCUUUCCCUAAUAAUAAAGCACGGGUUGAGUUUGUGGGGUUCACCGUCAUGGCGCUUUUGCAGAAAAGGCCUUUGGUUUCUGUAGUAUUGAAACCGCGGUCCCUCUUUAAGUGGUACUGUGGGAAAACGUUUCUGUUUUGUAGAAAUCCCCCUGUCGUUUUGGCUAAUAAACCUGCGAUAUUGUUUUAAGUCUUGCUAUAUUGGGCUUGAUGCAUGGGAGGAAAAGGAAUGAGGGCGAGCAGAAAAAUGCACGGGAGAAGCUCUCCUCGAUAAUACGGAUACGGCACCGCCGCCGCCGCUGCCACGCGCGGGCCGUCUCCUUCUCCGGCCAUCCGCCGCUCACUUCUCCUUCCUCUUGAUACGGCCAUCGUAGGUCGCCGCCACCGGCUUAAAAUGGUGUUUCGACCGCCGGCUCCUCGGUACCCUACACCUCCCUGGAAGUCCGGAUGCAUAAACUCUAUUGAAAACCAACAAACUAUGUUCGCGGUCAACUUUGCAACUACAAUUCAUCAUCUUUUUAGGAAGGGUCUCAUAUCAUAGCCUUUUGGCAAGUCCACAUACUCAACUGUCAUUUAGUCUUCUAUUAUUGCUAACACUCACCGUUUACACAUGGGAAAAAAGUUUCAAAUAGAGACAUCGAAAGAUAGGGGCUUAAAGUUUUGCCUCCCAGCUUAUUCACCUCAAGGGUGAUGUUAAUAAUAAUAACUCAUGCUCACUCAUAUCCAACUGGAUAUAUGUGCCUAGAUCUUUCCCCACCACAUGAUGCUUGCAAAAAGAGAAAAUAAAAAGGAAUAGAGGAGAAUACUUUGACUCUUGCAUGAAAAGUAAAUACAUAAAGUAAAAGAUAGGCCAUUCAAAGAGGGAAACAGAGGUUAUCAUGUGCUUAUCGAAUUGUAUUCUCAAUCUCUUAGUGCAAAAGAACAUCAUGUUAUAUUACCCCUUAUGAUAGCAACCUUUAUUAUGCACUCUGUCGCUUUUAUUACUUUACCAUCACAAGUUCGUACAACGCUCAAUUUUCUCUUACACUAAGUGAUCCAACACAUUUAGAAGCAGUUUUUUUCCUUUUUGCACCAAUGAUAACUAACUUGAAGGAUCUUACUCAAUCCAUAGGUAGUUAUGGUGGACUCUUAAACAAGAUUUUGGGUUUAAGGUUUUUGGAUGCACAAGUAGUAUCUCUACUUAGUGCGGAAUUUUGGCUAGCAAAGAUAUUGAGCAAGCACCACAUGUUGAAGGAUCUAUGACAAUAUAAUUUCUAUGUGAAUAUGAACAAACAUAAACCAUUACGUUGUCUUCCUUGUCCAACGUCAACAAUUUUGGUAUACAAUAUUUUAAUGAGGGCUCACAAUCAUAAAAGAUGUCCCAGAUAGUGUAUUUGCAUGUGAAUCUUCUCUUCCCUUAUUAAUUCUUUCAUGAAUUGCAUUAUUGACCAAUGCUAUGCUUGUCAAUUUUCAACAAAUUUUACCACUUGUACUUUACGUGAUGUCAUUACUUAACAUAAGAUUAGCAUAUGAUCUUUUUCAUUAUUUCCUUUUAUUUUGAUUGAAACAUAAAAGUAAAGAAGGAAAACUCGAACUAAACUUUAUUAUAUAACUUUCACUCGAUUACAUAGAAAGAUGGAUCACGAAACUAAGACUCGGAAAUAAACCAUGCUAAACUUUUAUUCAACUAAUUCAUGAGAUAACUAAAGAUCGAACUAAAAAUAGGGAAAGGUAAUGAAAGUGAUGGUGAUACGAUACCAGGGCAUCUCCCCAAGAUUGUCAAAAGCCAAGGGGAGUGCCCAUACCCAUGUACUCAAGUCUCCUUUAUUGGUGAAGAAGUAGGUGGUGGUGGUGAUGAAGUAGUAGCGAACUUAUCCUCCGCUUCCAUGGUAGAGGCUCACCAUCAUAAGAGGAAUCACGAGUAUCACGAGUCCUGCAACUGGCAGCCAAACUCAUUCCUUUAAAUCUUGCCUCAUAUUCAAAGACUUGAUUUUGGAGAUCGUAGAUUUGGCUUUGCAGAAAGUUGAUUUGCUCGUUCAGGGUGAAUACGAUGUCCUUCAUGGACCGGCCAUCCACCUUGUGAUCACGGGUGAAAUCUAUAAUCAUGAGGUGAUUGGCACUGAGUCCAUGCUCCACCAUCCCUUUGCACUUGAAGACCUCCUACUGCAUGGCUUCGAGCCUGACCUCCACGGUUCUCGUCCACUUGGGCCCUUCAACAUCCCGGAUGUGGAGCACCCCCUCAUGCAUCUCAAUGGUUUGAGGGUGCUUCAUCACCUCCGACAAGUAGAGGUUAAUUACCCUUUCAAAGAACUUGUCCUUGGAAGAGCUUGGUGCGGCCAUGGUGAUCUAGAUCUGUCAGAAAACAACAAGAAACAAGAACAUAAGAUUUCUUCGUGAUGCGGUGGUUAAUACGUUCGAGGGAUAUAUAUAAAGGUUUUUUAUCUUGGGAAACAAGCAAAACGGAAGGAAAACCGAGUCGGUAAGGUUCCUGAGGUGGCACAACCCACCUGGGCGUGUUAGGCAAGGCAAGCGCGCCCUGGUGUAUCGUGCCCUCCUCGGUUGCCUUCCUGGUUAUUUCUUAUUUUUAUAAAUUUUAUAAUAUUCCAAAACUGACAGAAAAUAUUAUUGCGGAAUUUUUGGAGUCCGUUUACUUACCGUAUCAUGUACCUCCUCUUUUUCAGGAUUCUGGAGUGUUCUGGAAGGUUUUUUUAUGUGUUCCUCUGGUGUCAUGGUUUGGAUAAUAAUGCUUUCAACAUUAAUAGGGGUACCUGGGAUGUAAUGUUUGAUUCUUUCUCCAUUGACCACCUCCGGGUUUGUACCUUCGGCAUUAUUGAUCUUAAUGGCUCCAGAAUGAUAAACCUCUUCGAUAAUAUAUGGUCCUUCCCAUUUGGAGAGAAGUUUUCCUGCAAAGAAUCUAAAACAAGAGUUAUACAAGAGAACAUGUUCACCAAGUUUGAAUUCCCGAUUUUGGAUUCUUUUGUCAUGCCAUCUUUCAACUUUUUCUUUAAAUAGUUUGGCAUUUUCAUAAGCUUGGGUUCUCCAUUCAUCUAGUGAGCUAAUAUCAAAUAACCUCUUUUCACCGGCAAGUUUGAAAUCAUAAUUGAGUUCUUUAAUUGCCCAAUAUGCUUUAUGUUCUAACUCUAGAGGCAAAUGACAAGUUUUUCCAAAAACCAUUUUAUAAGGAGACAUACACAUAGGAUUUUUAUAAGCUAUUCUGUAAGCCCAAAGUGCAUCAUCUAAUUUCUUGGACCAAUUCUUUCGGGGCCUAUUAACAGUUUUUGUAAUAUUAAUUUUAUUUCUCUAUUGCUAAGUUCAACUUGACCAAUAGAUUGAGGAUGAUAAGGUGAAGCAAUUCUAUGGUUGACAUCAUAUUUAGCAAGCAUUUUAUGGAAAGCACCAUGAAGAAAAUGUGAACCUGAAAGUGCAACUAUCCCUGGGUGGUUUUGGCAAUUCUUAACAACAUAUAGCUCAUUGAACUAAUACUCUUUCAAGGUAAUCAUUUUAGAAAGUUCAAUGAUUGGCAUGGACUAGGAAUGUGGACCCCUCAAAAUGCUAAUCACACAUAUUGGCUCAAGCUCAAGACUCUACAUUUCAUUUUAGUGAUCCAAGAUCACAUUGAGUCCAUAGAAAAAGCCAAUACUAUUAAAAGGGGAUGAGGUGUUGCUUAAUGGCUUGCUUGCUCAAAAUGCUCGGUGAUAUGCUCGAAAAGCCCUCAACCACUUUCUCAUAUCCACAUAUGUCCCAAACCAAAAGUCAAACUCGGCCCCACCGAUUUGAUAUAUCCGGCGCCACUGAGUUCAUUUAACAUAGCCAUAGCCAGAAACCCUAAUCAGUUCGGUCUCACCGAUAGGGAUCUCGGUCUCACCGAGAUGGGAUUCCAAACUCUCUGUUUCCCUUUGUAACGUUUAGGUUUAACCAAAUGUGCGAUCGGUCCCACCAAGUUCGCAAUGCAAACUCUCUGUUUCCUUUUCGUAAUGUUUUGUUCUCACUAAGAUGAGUGAAUCGGUCCCACCGAGUUUGCCUGACCAACUUUUUGUUUGCCCAUUACAGAAAUCGGUUCCACCGAGUUCAUGUGAUCGGUCUCACCGAGAUUACGUUAUGCCCUAACCCUAAUGAAAUCGGUCCCACCAAGUUGAUCAUGUCGGUCCCACUGAAAACCCUAAUGUUCACAAGGCUUCGUGUGAGGGCAAGACUGCUGCCAGAAUAUCCAGGGACGGGUAUGCGAGUAGCACGUGCUAGUUUACCCAGGUUCAGGGCUCUCCGGAGAGAUAAUACCCCUACUCCUACAUGUCUGAGUAUAUAUCUGGGGUGUACUUCGGGCAGUACAAAGUGCUCCUGGAGCUGUAUUGGACUGAGAGUAGUAGCAAUGAGCUAGCUAACUAGUGGCGUGAUGGCCGUGGCCUCUGGCCGAAUGAGUGUGUGCGUGAGAAUGUCUGUAUGUAUGGAUGGAUGGAUGGCUAUAUGUAGUGGUAGGCAUGGGUGGUGGUAGCGUUGGUUGUAAGCUACCUUGGGUAGCUUACAAACCAAGCUAUGUAGUGGCAUGGGCUAGGCAUGGUGCAUGUCAUGCUUGUCCCCUGAGGUACUUUAUAAAUCAGUACCCAGGGGACACGGUACACUGUAGAUGACAUCGCGGUACGGUCAUCCCGUCGAUGUCUUGUCGGUGUCGGGUCAGGCUGCAAUCAGCAGCCGGCUGGUUGGAGCAGUCGGCAGCCAGUGGCCGGCAGGGGCGGCCGGGCAGUCGGCAGCCAGCAGCCGGCCUAGUGGAGUAGUCAGCAGCCAGCAGCCAGCAGUCGGCCUGGUGGAGCAGUCGGCAGCCAGCAGUCGGCCGGGCAGAGCAGUCGGACGGGGAGCCGACAUGAGCAGCCGGAUAGUCGGACUGAGGGGCUUUGCUAGCCCCGAUGUCUUGAAAUAUCGUCUUGUCGUCUUCGGGGUACCCGUCGCCAAUUACUCCGACAGUAGCCCCCAAGCUUCCGGGCAACUUGACAAAGUUGGGCGGAGGUUUUUUUGGCGAGUGUUCAUGGAAAUGAUCAUGAAAAAGACAAAGUUAAUCCACGCAGAUAUAUCAAAUGUUUGCUUUUAGCAUUGCAAGUUUUAUGCUGAGGGUGCCGACUCGGUUUCGUCCGAGCCCCCUUAAUCUUUUUCAUGUUCCCUCUGCUUUUUGGCUUGUGCUCUCGCUCGCCGGACAGCCGCUCUGCGGUCUGUGACUGAGAGUGGGCCGUGAAGUGGAGUGUACAGUACUUAGAGUCUGAGAGUAGAUUUAACCGAGCAGAUACUCAUAAAGGAAACGGUCGGGUCGCCCGAAGCGUUUUUCUUCGCGGACGUUUUUCACGUGGGUGGCCUCCAGUCUUCACUCUUGCUAGUCGGACAGCCGCUCCUGCGGUCUAUGACUGAGAGUGGGCCUUUGGUACCGCGCACACUACUAAGUCGUCUGCGGGAACUAACGUCUCAGGCCAAGCGGCCAGCCGCCGGGCCAACUCUGGCUGGCGCCGGGGCGAACGGUGAUGCAACUGUAAUAAAAUGCGGAGAUAGCCCCCGAGCAUCGCUCGGGGUUAUCCGUGCUUGCGUGACGCAAAAAUAUGAUGGUGAGGAGCUCACAUUAAUUUUCGUGUAGUCACGGCAGAGGUUGUCGAAGACAACCGACGCGGCCCGGCGCUCGCGGAGCACGUCGGCAAACCCGCUGGGUAUAGCUUCUAGCCCGGGGGUGCUCGAAGGGGGGUCCCGGCCGGUCAGGCUCGACCAGCCAGGCGGCGAAGCGUCUUGCAGCGCUUUUUUUCCUUCUUUUUUCUCUUCUGCCGGCUGCUAGCAGCCGGACGAAACUCUUCUCUUGUUUGCAAUCUUCGCGGGGGCGCGCCAGCGCACCCGCUGGGUGUAGCCCCGGAGAUUCGGGCCGACUGCUGUGCAGUCGGGCUUGAUCUCCCGGCAACUACUUUGUCUUCUUUCUCGCGGGGGCGCGUCAGUGCACCCGCUGGGUGUAGCCCCCGAGAUUCGAGCCGACUGCUGAGCAGUCGGGCCGGAUCUCCCGGCAACUACUUUGUCUUCUUCUUUGUCUUCUUCAGCCGGUUGGACGGGCGGGCCCCGACACAGCAGUAAGGCUCUUUGCAGCCGGCCAAGGAGCCUGCGGUCGGACGCACAUCUGGCAGUCGGACGGACAUCUGGCAGUCGGACGCAUAUAUUUUUUUUCUUCUUUUUUUUUUCUAGCACCCGGCCACCCUUCUUUUUCUUUUUGGGCAGUCGGCUUCUCUUUUCCACCCGGCCCAAUUUCUUUUUCUUUUGCAACCGGCUGGACACUCAACCAUUGACUUUUCCAGCCGGCCCCAUGCAAGCAGUCGGCAACAUUUUUUUUCUUCAGGAAUCCGACAGCAGCAGCCGGCGCAGGGGAGGCCGACUGAGGGGGGCGGGUGGCGCGCGAGGCCGGUUGGUGGCAAGCCGGCUGCGGGAGCAGGCGGGCGCGGCGAGGCCGGCUGGUGGCAAGCCGGCUGCGGGAGCAGGCGGGCGCGGCGAGGCCGGCCGUGCCGCGCCGGAGGCCGGGCGCGGGCGACGGGCGGAGGCCGGCUGCGGGGGAGGCCGGGUGCGGCGCGGGGCGCACGGACGGGCGCACCGGGCCGAGCACGGUGGGGCGGCAUAGCGGCACGAGGGCCAAGCGCGGAGGAGGCGCGCGACGCCGGGAGGCGCGAGGCCACAAAGGCGGAGGCCGGGACGGCGCAGCAAACGAGGGCCGGGGCGGGCGCGUCUGGAGGAGCCCGGGGCCGACACGGUCGGAGGCGCGGGAGCUGGACGAUGGGCCACCAGGCGCGGGCGGAGGUGCGUCGGGACAAGGCGGACGCGGGAGAAGGCGGAGCAGCACAACCGUGUCACCCGGGCCGGUCAGGGCGGAGUCGCAGCCGCGUAGGAGCAGCCGGACCCGGCACUGCGCGGGAGGAGGACCUGGCGCUGCGUGGGAGGAGAUGGACGGAGGCUCGAGGGAAGCACCAAGCCGAACAGGAAGUCAACGCAGGCAGGGCGAGGCGGCGCGGCCGCCUGGAGGCCGGCACGGGACGACGCGAAUGCGACGCGGGGAGCCGGCGCGAGGCGGGAUGCUGGUGGAACCGUCCUGCAGAGGAGUCUGGGCGCUAUAUGUGCGUGCUGUAGUGUGUAUCUUAUAGACAGUUUGUGCAGGGGCUAUGGCGAACUGGAGCUGAAUGAGCUGGGAGCUUGGAGCCAAGCAGCAAGGUGAUACGGGCGCAUGCAUAUGGACGGAGCAGCCGGCGAAGCCGCCGGACGGUGCGACGGCAAGGCUCACACGACCGGCUGGCCUGACGCGCGCACCCAAGCAAAGCUAGCUAGCCAAGCCAGCACGCACUCAUGUCAAUCGAUUGGUCAAACUGGCUAGCUAGCUAGCUAGUUAGCUUGGCACAAGUGUGUGUACGCUCAGAGCAUGUACAAUAGUCCUAUUCAGGAGGCUGCAACGGAGUCCACGUCAGCAAAAAUCUGAGCUGAAGAGAAAAAAAGAAAGGAGAGAGAAGGAGCCGGCUCUUCGUGAAGCGCCGGGCUAAGACACAGAAUACGAGAGCCUUCCGCCCGCUUGCAGCCCGAUGCGAGCGCUAGCGCCGCCGCUUCCGAUCCCGUGCGUCUCCCUUGCCUCGUGCGCUUCUCCUUCCGCCUCCGCGUGCGAAAUCCAUCUUUUCCUCGCUCCAAAUCGCUUGAUGCGCGCCAAAUGGAAGCUCUAAAGUCUCCAGCUUCCCCCAAAUCGCCACCACCCCAAACCCUAGAACAGCCGCCGGCGCCGCAUCAAGGAGAUGGGCCAGCAGUCCAAAAGGACGCGUGCGCCGGAGCCUCAGGUCGUCCCGCCAUCGCUGCUCAAUUCGUUCCGCCGUUGAUGCCGCAUCUCGUCCCGCCGUCGGCGCCACACCUCGUCCCGCCGCCGUCGGCGCCACACCUCGUCCCGCCACCACGCCAGCUCGGACCAGGUGCCUCGAUCCCCCCACGGCCACCAAAGGCAGCAACGGCCUCUGCACCAUGCUGGCUGCCCCAGACGCAAGGCCCUUUGUGGUACACGAAUGUUGAUGAUCUGAAUCCAGAAGCAUGGUAUGUGUUCUCCCCCUGUUUACUAGUACAGUCUUGCUAUGAUAGCCUUCUAUUUGAUACAUUUGUUCAGCUGUUUACACAUAUCUAGUUUAGUUAGUACUGUCAUGCAAUGCUAGCCUGCUAUGUGAUACAUUUGUUUUUCUGUUUAUCUGAACUCUGAACAUGCAGAUGGUCUUUGUUGGUGUCAAACUGUCAAAUAUUUGCAUGAUAUGCAGCUAUGCGUUUCUGUAUGAUAUGAAUCCACAUGUAUUUGAUAUGAUGCUCAGCUGUUGUAAUUUAAAAAUGGUUAUGACAGAAAUAGAAAGCAAAUAAGUGUAUCCAUCUUAUCUGAAACUCUAAACAUUUAGAAUUUUCCCUAAUGAAUUAAUUAAUGUUCUUAUAACUAACCAGCAUGUAAUAGUCUAGUCUCUCCUUAACUAGUAAUAAGAAAGCCUUCCUUAUAUUUCUGUAGAUUAGAAUACUGCCUAGUCAAUCUUAAAAAUUACAAAUGAAAUGUUCUUUGCUUAAAUGUGAUGUCUUUUUUUAUUAAACCCUGUUGUGAUAUGAAGUCGAUUGUUUGAUCAUCUAGUAUUGUCUCGGCAGGGGAGUGGAUUCUCACCCACCUGGUGGGUUCCUUGGUUUUUUUAAGAACAUGCCAAGCCUUUCCCAAGCUGUGAGCAAUGGGACUUCAUCGCAACAAAUCAAGAAAGGAGAUGCCACCAAUGGUGGCGAGUGUGCAGGACUAUGCCUUACAUACAUUUUAUGGAGGAUCAACAUUAUAUCUUACAUACAUUUUAUUCCAGGACUAUGACGUGUCGUGGUGACUGCUGCAUGUGCAACCUACUGGUAUGCAUUCUCUACUUACAGUUUAGUCUUUUAUAGCUUGUUCCUGUUCCUAUUGGCAAUGUACUUGACUUUACUGAACAUGUAUAGUUGUUGGAUUACAGAAGUUGUAGCCUUGUAGUCGUUGGAUCUGAGUGUGUUGUUUGUUUUAAAAUUGCUCCUAUAAUAGGCUUCAAAGUAAAAGAAAGUAAUACCUGAAACUUACUUCCAGCUACCAUUUCUAGUGAACCAUAUGAGGUACCAUCUGUGUAUGACAUGAAGUGGGAUUUGUGAAGUAGAUAAGAAUUAAAGUUGAGCAUGGAUAGCUAUGACUGACCCAAUAGUGGAUCAUAAUGCAACUCUUACUGUCAUGAGCAUGCCAUCUUCAUCUCAUCACCAUUUGCAUUCAUGCGGAAAUAUUUACCAUCUGCUUUGUUUCCAUUUUUUCAUACAGUGACUGAAGAUUGUUGAUGCAGAUGGAUUCGUCGCUCCUUUCUAUUGAAGUUCCAACUUAUCAUCGUCAAAGAUCAAAACUAAUGGCUUAUUUGCAUUGUCUCUUGUUUGGUUAAUGUUUUCUUAAAAAGACUGGUGUAAUGUUUAAGUGUCGAUGUCAUGGUGUUAUGCGCCAUCAGUUUGUUGAUCGUCGGCGCAAGAUUAAAACUAACGGCUUGUUUGCCGGGCAUCUUAUUUAGUUCUAUGUUUGGUUAAUGCUUCCUUGGAAAGAUUCAAGCAAUGUUCAACUGUUUUGUCAUGGUGCUAUGCGCACCUGUUUCUUCCUUGUUUAUUAAUUAGUUUUCCUUGGUCUGUUCUAUUGGCAUGAAUGGAAUAUAUGUAUACAUAAUUAUUAAAAUUGCUUGAAUAUUGAUCAGUUUCUUUUGGUAUAUCCGGUAUAUCCUAUUGGCAUGAAUGGCAGAUAUAUGCUGAUUGAAAUGGCCACAAAGAUGUUGUAUGUAUUGGAUCACAACAGGUGCAAAUAUUAAAUGUCCAUGCCUUUAUUAGGUUCAGUCUUAGAGCCAACCUAAAAGCCAG